GUCCGGGUAGGAUUUGAUGGCCUCCUGCAGCUCCUUGUACACCUGGGUGGCGUCGUUGCAGCCGAACAUGGGCAGCUUCCACAUGGUCCAGUAGCGGCCGUCGUAGUAGCACGGGGAGGUGGAGUUCUCGCGGUACACGAAGCCGACCUUGCUGAACUCGAGGCAGGGUAUCCAGCCGUUGCGCAGCAGGUAGUCCACCUGCUUCAGCAGGUCGUCCGUCGACAGCGGCGGCAGGUACGACAGCGUCUCGAACUUCUUGUUGCCGUAGGCCGGCCACACCUGCACGUAGUACGUGUGUUUUGGUUCGUUUGGGGUUGGGAAAUGGGAUGGGAUGGGCAACACACAUCAGUCCAUGCAUGGAUCAUCAGUUCCCUUCCUAUUACUAACUCGCUAGCUGCAGCUGCUGCAAUGCAAAGAACUACUAGCUAGGAUGCAUUUGUUACCUGCAUGCACCGGAUCCUUCCGCCGUUGCUGACGUUGCCGAGGCUUCUGGAGGAGCGGCGGGCGACGGGGAGGCUGGCGGUGGACUUGAGCCCCUGGAACGGAGCGACGGCGGUGGCCGACGAGGCCAUCAUCACGGUGGGCGCCAUGGCUGCCUGGCUGCCUAGUAUGUAUGUACUCGCUGCUUGCUUGCUUGCUUGGGUCGUCCUGUAGUAGGCUCCCCCACACCGACGGCAUAUAUAGAGGGGGAGAGUGUGCGACGGGAUGGCCGGCUCCGGCUCUCGUUGGGGGCAGGACGCAGUACAGGACAGGACGAAGCGGAUGUGGGACGAGUGGCCACCGUUCUCCCGUGGCCGCGCCCGGCCAGCCUGGCCCUAUCCUGAUCGCGUCCGCCACCACAUGUCGCGUCCCCGUGGCGCGCCUUAUCGCCUGCGCGCCAUGGUUGGACUAUGCGUGAUGUGCCAGGGACUUGUAGAUAGGAGGAAGCGCAGUUUAGGCUCGUCGCGGUUCUGGGCAAAGACAAAACAGUUUUGGGCUUGGGCUUCGGCUUCGGCUUCGGCUGCGUCUGCUUGCAGUUUUGGCUCUUUGCAUCGUCUGCUGCUCUCUCACCUGAGGCACUGACGCCGGCCCUGUUUGGAUCUACAGAAUUGGGCUGAAUUCAAGUCAGUUUCCAGGAUGGCUUGUUUGGCAGCGCAUUGAAAUUGGAAAGUGACAGUAGAAUUUUUUGGCAUAUAUAUGCGCCUUACUUAGCUACCUCGAAUUCAUGGCAAUUCCGCCUCUUGUCUUUUAUCGGGCGUCGUCCACGAGCGCCUACGCCUUCCCCAACCAUUCCACCUAUUCUAUUUUUCUACAAAAAAAAUAAUUACCCCAGCCUCAGCUAUUUAUGAAAAAUAUAUGAACUUUCGCUAGAGUUGCAUUUGAAUUCCCCACGUCUGUCAUCAGUCAUCACGAAAGAAAGGUAAAUCUAAAACUCCUCCUAAAAAUGUUAUUUAAUUACCCAAACAUGCCUAAAACUGCAUUUAAGGAUAUCUACUAUGAAAGGUAUUGCAAAAUAACACACUAAAUGUGCCAUUUAUCUUUGCAAGCCGCGGAUGCAGAUCUAGCGCCAGAUUAAAGGGAGCUCGAUUCAUGGAUAUAUGUUCUUUUUCAAAGAAUGUUUAUGGUCGAUGUUUGUUAUUUUUUUCGUUUUGCGAAACCGUAUGCAAGAAAUUACAAAAGGUGGGGAACUUUUUGUUUUCAUAAUCAAAAAAAUAUGUCUUUUAGAUUACGCGUAUCUAAGCAAUGUAAAUACGCUAAAUUUGUGUCUUACUUAUGUACCUACGUGCUCAAUUAACUAAAUAUUCCACAUAUUUUUGUCUUACCAAUAUAAUCUAUUAUAGAAAAUAAUUCAACAACCAUAGAAAUAUGCAUAAAUUUUUCUAGACUACACAUUCUACCAUUUCUCUACUGAUAUAAGGUCCUGUCCUUAAGCAACCUAGUUUUUAAGAAGCCAGAUUCUAUCUCUAAUUUCCAGAAAUUGGUUUAUAAAAACAACUGGUUAAUCGUGUUUGUAACCAUCUCAAUUUCUAUAAAUUAGUUUUAGCUAGGGGAGGCUAGCUUCUUGGUUUUAAGAAACCGAGAAUCCAGUUUCCAUAAACAAGCACAUAAACUGAUAUGUUUGAAACCACCUCAUCUUGAUAAACCAAUUUCUUAAAACUGGGAGCUUCCAUACAGACCCUUAAGCAUCAGUUUUUCUCGUUUCCACCGUCGUCCAUUUAAAAAAUCCUUAUGCAUUUUAUAAUCUAACCCACGGUCUAACAACUACAACACAUACAAGGCAAAACCGCAUUCUUGUGUCACUUUCCAAUUCAAUGCGUUGGUGGCCCCAGGUCUGUACAGUCUCCGUGUUCGCCCCGAGAUCUUGCCUGGCGAUGUUGCCUCCGACCUCGUCGCGACACAGAUCCUCGUGCCCGAUAUACCUCCGUGUUGGCCUACCCACGCUCCCCAAACCCUAGGGGUUCCACGCACGAGAUAGGGAUAUGAAGGCGCUGGUGGGGCGGACGGUGCGAAAUCGGUAGGCCCCUCACAAUCCCCUCCCACAAGUUGUCAUCGAUCUCGCUGCGACAUAGGCCCUCGCGCCCGAUCUACCACCACACUGGCCUCCCCUCGCUCCGCAAACCGUAGGGGUUCCGCACGAGAUAGGGAUGGAGGCGCUGCUGGGGCAGGUACUGUGGAAGACGUUCCCAGGGUUCGGUACCUUCAUGGGCGUUGUGGAGUCGUACGACCUCUACGCGACCUAUUUCUACAUGCUCUAAAAGGACGAUGAUUCCGAGGAGGUCGACGUCGACAAGUUGGCCCUAGAUUAUCGUUGGACCCACGAUGCCAUGCGCGCUGCAGUAACAACAGAAGCACACCCACUACAGGAGACAAAAUCAUUUUUGGCGGUCAAAAGCCGCCAAAAAUAAGCCAUAUACCACCGAAAAUAGCUUAUUUUUGGCGGCAUCUUGCCGCCAAAAAAAUUAUCCAAAAAUAAAGACUAAUUUUUGGCAGCAACACCUAGGUCGAAAAUAACUUAUUUUCGACGGUCACGCUGUUGCCGCCGAAAAUAGAGCAGCCGAAAAUAUACAAGCUUAUUUUCGACAGAAUGUAAAAUUAACAGCAAUUUUAACAACACUAUAAUAUAAUCACAAUAUUAUGACAGCAAAAGAAAUUCCAGAAUUACACACAUUCAACACAAAAUAUCACAAUUCACCACAAUUCCUCACAAAUACAUCACAGUUCACCAAAAUACCUUACAAAUCCAUUACAAUCUAGCACAAAUUCACAAUUCCAUCACAAAAACAUCAUAAUCGAGUGCAUCAUCCAAAAUCACCACAAGAGUCAAAUCAUGUCUCAAGGUAUUGGUGGUCCAACCACUUGGGCUUCAGAGUUGCCCUCGAAAAAGGCUAAGGUUUGAUUCAUUUUCACCGGCGUUGUAACGAGGAGGUGGGUUAUGCACACUCGAGAGAUUGUCACCAUAAUAUGUUGAUGUGAAGUUUGACACCUACUCCAGAAUGUAUGCCUGUUUAAUGGAAGCCUCCAUUUUGCAUUUCUUUCUACAUUUCUUUUGAAUAACCAUUAGACACUUCUCGAUUGAAUAUCACCAAUGUCCCUGCACGGGGCCCCGAUUCGUGCCUCAUACGGGAGAUGCAGAAUCAAAUGUUGCAUCGGAUUGCCAUUCUUUCCAAGUGGAAGCCAAGUGGAAAGUUCUUCUCCAACUUACACAUUAACACGAGUGCCAUUCUUUCCAAGUCUGCAAUCAUGGUCCGAGAUAACUCCUCGACACAAAGCUAGCAGAAGAAAUAGCUCAACUCUGCAAGAACUAUCUAGACAUGCUCAGGGACAUAGCCCCAUACCAUCCCCAGAAGAAGUUGUUCAAUCCAUAUGUGGUAGUCAUGACUCUUCAUCCCUAAGACUCAUAUAGUAGAUAAGUUCACCCCCUACUCAUGUUAGCUGCAUACCCAUCAGGGAACAUUAACAUCUUGAUCCACUCUAGUACUUCCCUCCUCAGGGCCUUGCUCAAGACAAAAUCGACCUUAGGCCUUCUCCAUGUCUUUCCACUACUAGGAAGCUUCAUCUCUUGGUUUGGUCUAUCACAUAACACUGCCAGAUCCACUCUUGCCUUAAUGUUAUCCUUUGUCUUAUCAGGAAUAUCCACGAUUGUUGCCCAAAGUGCCUCUAUGGCAUUCUUUUCAGUGUGUAUCACAUCAAUAUUGCGUGGAAGGAGAAGGUCAUCAUAAUAGGGGAGCCGAGUCAAGCCCGAAUUUAUGGGUCCACAUAUGUUGCUCACCAUAUCCCACAAAACCACCUUCUAGAUUGACCACGAGACCGUCUAUUUGUUGAUGAACUUUGGCACUAGUCAUCUGUAAGGAAAAUUGACCUCGACCCAUUUGACUAAAUGAUUUUGUUGAUCGAUGAUCAACAGAAUCUAUGGACUAAUGUGUUUGCUAGUGUUUGUAUUUGUAGUUCACAAGAUGCUAAAGUAACUUGGACCAAGGCAUUGAGCAAGCAACACUCAAAAGAAGACACUAUGAAGACCAUAAGUGAAUAUCAAGAAGUAUAAAGCAAAGUACAAUACUUGAAUAAAGUGUAGCCACUCGCGGACCGUCCGGCUGAGAACAACGGACUAUCCGAUGCACCAGGAAACAGGACCCAACGACUAGUUUCCUGGUGGCACUGUGGAGGACAACCACCGGAUUGUUCGGUGCACCACCGGACUGUCCCGUGUAAGGAUGACAUGCGACAACAGUCACCUGCAACGGUCAUAUCCAACGGCUAUGGGGCACCGGAUAGGGCACCGGACUGUCCAGUGCCUACCACCAGACUGUCCGGUGUGCCACAAAGAGGAACAGCUUUUCUCCAACUGCUAGUUUUGAGUUGGGGCCUAUAUAUACUUCACCCAACCGACCAUUUUGAAGGUGUGGGAGCCCAACAUACCAGCACAUGUUAUAGACAUUUCCAAGUGCUCAAACACCCAAGUGCUUAAUAGAACCACUCGGUGAUUAGCGUAGGUGUUUUGCGAAGUGCUUAGGUUAGUUAGACCACUUAUACGCUUGCUCUAGGUGAAUCCUAGUUAGUUGAGUGAGUUUAGAAAAACCCACAAACCCCAUGGCUCUUGUGCGAGCUGUUGUAAUUGUAUCGCAUGGAGCGAGAGUCUUGCGAGACUGUGAUAACCGAGUUUGUGUCAUGGCCGCCACCGUGUACCGAAGGGAACGAGGCCCGUAACGUUUCGGUGGGAAUCUCUAUAGUGGAGACGACGGGGAGCGUUCGAUAGGAGCUGGAAGCGGAGCACCACUUGAGCAUGAAGAAGGCCCAUGACUCUCUACGGAGUUACUCGACCGUGGUGCUUGGCUCUCGCGUGGGCUACUCUUUUGCGUAGGGGCACCAACGAGGGUUAGUCGGGACCUUGCGUGGUUCCGGAUACCUCGGUAAAAAUACUAGCGUCAUCCAUGAGAGUUUGCUUUCUCUACAACCUCUUUAAUCUUCUGCAAUUACUCUAUCUACUUACGUUGCAAUCUUUACUAUUUUUAUUGUAGAAUAUUUAUGAUUGGAACUUAGGUUGCUUUUGCGGUAGAGAUAGCAACACUUACACAAAACCUAGUUUGCACAUUCUAGAUUGCUUAUUUGCAUAGGUUUUGUUCUAAGGAUUUAUUUGUGACCUAGUUUAGAAAGUAGUUUUUAGAAGUCCUAAUUCACCCCCUCUUAGGCAUCGCCGUUUCCUAAAUAAUCACUGUAGGUGGGCGGUCUAUCACUAUGACACCUUUCAUAAAGGUCUUGAUGUCUUAUCGGAAUGCAUGAUCAGGAGGGAGAAAUUGUCGGUGUUUAUCGAACGUCGAAUAUUUGUCACCCUUCUUCAACCAAAUGAACCUAAGACCUUGAUUGCAAACUGGACAUGGGAACUUACCGUGAACACACUAGGUGGAGAAUAGCCCAUAUGCCGGGAAGUCAUGUAUGGAGUACUUGUACCAAACAUGCAUUUUGAAGUUUUUCUUUGUAGCUCAGUCGUAUGUCCAUACCCCUUCCUCCCAAGCACAGACCAAUUCAUCAUUCACAUGCUCCAUGUACACACUCAUUUUAUUCUCCGGGUGUCCAGGAAUUAUCAACGACAAGAACAUGUUCUGUCAUUGAAAGCAUAUGACGGGGGAGAUUGAGGGGGAUAACGAACACAGGCAACACGUGUAUGGGUAGCUAUCAAUCCAUACGUAUUGAACCCAUCUGUGGCCAGUGCAACAUGUACGUUACGAGCUUCUUUAGCUUCGUCAUGGUGAAUGACAUCAAAUUGGGUCCAUGCUUCACCAUCGGAUGCAUGUACCAUCUUGUCAGGAUUCUAUCGUUUUCCAUUUUUGUGCCAUGCAUCUGUUUCAUGGAAUCCUCAGUCAUGUAUAGCCAUUGGAUCCUCGAUAUGAAUGGAAUAUGUGUAGGAUUAUCACAGGGAUGCUGAGCUAUCUCUUCUGUCCAUCACCAGAGUCUACCUCCAUGAACCUAGACGAUUUACAUUUCAGACAGUACUUUGCCUCUGCGUAUUCUUUCCUAAAUAGGACGCAACACUUCGGACAAGUAUGUAUUUGCUCAUACGUCAUCUUGAGUGCAUGAAGGAGUCUCUGUACCUCAUACAUGAUCUUUAGCAGAACGUGAUCCUCUUUAAGCAAGCUUCUAAUAACUGUCAACAUACCAUCGAAGGCUUCUCGACUCAGUCUAUACUAUGACUUUAAGGCCAUUAUAUGUCCAAUGGCACCCAAUUGAGAAAUGUAACACCCAGUUUGUAACCUAUAAUAAAAGAGGAGAAAUUAAUUCCUUUAUCUAUAUGAGUGUUAUUCCUACUUAUCAUCACAUGUGAACACCAUAAUCAAAAAAAUAAUAAUUAAUAAAAGACUUACCAAAAAAAAUGUGUGCAUCAUGUUGGUUCUUUAUUUUGUGUGCAUUAUGUGGCAAUAUAAAAGUAAUGUGACAAGAAAUAUAUUAAAUUCCCAAGUGGAAAUUUAGAAUUUAAAAGAAAUCCUAGAAUUGAGAAAAGAAGAGAAAUUAAUAGGGGAAUAAAAAUAAGUAUAAAAAUAUAUACAUUAUUCUUAUACAUAUUGGAUUUUGAAUAUUUUACUCAAAGGUUAAGUCCACAAAAAGGGAUUCAAAUUCAAACUAGAGAUUCAAAUGAAUAUAUAUAAAAAAAGAUAAAAGAAAAAGGGGAAAGAAGCCAAUUGGGCCUCAGGCUUCAUUUCGGCCCAGUAACCAAAACACACCAUGCGGCCCGUCCAGCCGCCUGGUGGUGGUGCCGACAGGUGGGCCACCCUUGUCAUCCCGCUCUCACGCGCACUUGGCAAGAAACUUGUUACGCUGCUGGCGGGCCCCACUCGUCAGACUUAUCUCCCUUCUCACAACAACCCCCGCGUCAGCGCAACAGAACCGUGGUGCUGCCCAGGGAUUCCGAGCUCGCGCAUACGCCUACCGAAAUCGAAGCCGAAAUUCGUGGAAGACUACCUGCUCGGGCUGCCAUCCUCCCUCCGAUUUUCCCCGUCGCAACCAUCGCCGUUGAUCUCGGAUGCCGUUGAGGGUAGUCCGCACAUGGGGAAGGCCUAUAAGUUGGGCGAUGUGCGUUCCUCCUCCUAUCCCACCUCUCCAGAAGUUUCGUGGCCGGGCAGGGUGAGAUACUCGCGGUUGGGAGCUCGACGGAACCACCGUCACGUGGUCAUCUGUGCUGCUCCAUGGUCGCGUGCGUGGGCAUCGAGCGACCGCCUGCGUAGGGAGGAAAAGGGUUAGCCGCCGCGUCGUUUCCUCGGAACGCCGUCGUCCUGGCUCGGGUAGCCGCAAUUGAGGUUCGCGAGAGCACGUGGGUCAUCGUCAGGCUAGGCGCCAGGUGUGGCGGUCUCCAGAAUCCGACUAAUUCGUCGCCGGGGUUUUCUUUCGCGGCGGAAAUUGUGGUCGGCCGUGGCCGGCUGAUCUGGGCGCCAAAUCGACCGGUAUGACCUAACCUAUUACCUUCCUCGCCAUAACCGCAUUCGUUUUUAUAAAUCCGGGGGUCGAAGUAGUUGGCCGGGUCGCGCAAAUCGCUUGCCGCGGCGGAACUCCGGUGGGCGUUUGGGGGUGGCGCAGCCGCAGGCGGCCGAGGGAGGAAGAUACACUUGCGCCGUCGGAUGGGAGUUGGACGGGGAUGAUUAGAAUUGAGCGUACCCUUUCGCUGAUGCCAUCUGGGCCGUUCGACUGGUCUCGGACGGGUGCGAUCAGGGCGCGCUUAUUUUAAACCAGGGCCGUGAAAUCUAGAUCCGACGGCUAGGGUUGAGCGCGGAGGGUAACUCGCCUGGAUCUAAUCUGACACGUCUGUUUCAGAUCGGGCGGUCUGAACUUGUCGAUACCGCUUCGCUGGCCACUUUGCUAAAGAGCCCUCGGGAAACUCAGAAACCAACCCGCGAUCCGUCCCUGGUAGAUUCUGAGUCUGGAGAAAUCUUAUAAGCUAGCCCCUGUCUUUCCCUGUAAUAGGCGCCUAGUCCAGAGAGUUAUAAAAUCAGAGAAAUGAAUUAGAAAAUGAGUUUUUAAAAUAAAAACAAUACCUAGAUUUUGUAUAAUUCAUAGAAAAUGCAUAUGAACUCCAAAUUAGUUCAUUCCAGUUUCUAAAUUUUCAUAAUAUUAUUGUCUAACCAUUGGUGCCUCUGUUUGGCAUGAAAGACACAUUAAAAUUUAUCUAAUACUUAAUCAUGUAUUAAAUACAUAAAAUCUUGGAAAAUUCAUAACUUAAAAUCUAUAACUCCAAAUUUAAUGAUUCCAGUUCCUGUGAUCUUAUUUUAAUAUCUAGAUUAUUACUGUGUAUUUUAUUUACAUGCUUGGUGUAAUGUUAAUUUUGCCUAUACAAUGUUUGUUUGUAUUGCUACGACUACAGCGAGGACACGUGUCAUCUGAAGAUCAUCCUGGUACCUGGAAUCUCAAGUCACAGGCAAGUUGUGCCCUUGAUCACUUCUUUUACCUACUCAUGUUCUGAUUAAUCAUAAUGAUCUGCAUAGGUUACUUUUGAUGGGACCCAAUAGGUCACCCUAGUUUGUUCAUCCUGAAUACCUUGUUUACCCCUAAAUCACUUGGGUAGUUCUGCUACUGCUUUAUAUGGUUUUGGGUUAAUAUUUCAUUACAUCUAUGUUCCAAUUAUGUUGUUAUUCUAUUUAUGUUCAUGACAAGAUCAUUAAAAUGUUAAUUGGAACAUAGAGCUUAACUUGAGAACCACGUGCCACCACAAGGGUUUAAUGGGACGCCCUUGGCUGACUAAUUAGGAAAGCUAGUGGAGGACUACCUUACCCGAAAGGGGCAAGGGCAGUAGGGGAGUGGUCAGUGUAGGGAGGCCCUCGGGAGGAUUUUGCUGCGAUGGCGGUCCUGCAAGGGAUUCCUGCAUUGGAGCUUCCUAUAAACUGUAGCGGGUUUUCUGAAGCUAGUGGAACUUUGUAAAGGCCUCGUAGUGUUACCCUGCCUCGCCUCCUCGGUAGAGGUGUAUGGGAAGUCGCGAUCCCUUGGCAGAUGGGUAACAUGACUUGUGGGUAAAGCGUACCACCUCUGCAGAGUGUAAAACUGGUAUACUAGCCGAGCUCACGGUCAUGAGCAGCUCAGGACUCUCUGAUGAUUAAAUUAUAGAACUUAAACUCAAUUUGUCAUAUGCAUUGCAUUGCAGGUGAGGUUGUUACUUUUGUUCUACUACUUAAUUGGGUUGGUAUUUACUAAUUGCUAAUAAAAUUUUGACCAACUUUAAAAGCAAUGCUCAGCUUCAACCAUCCUCUUUGGUAAGCCUUACACUUCACAUGAGCUCCCACCUUUGGCGAGUUCAUGCACAUUAUUCCCCACAACUUGUUGAGCGAUGAACGUAUGUGAGCUCACUCUUGCUGUCUCACACCCCCCCACAGGUCAAGAACAGGUACCGCAGGAUGAGGCGCUUGGAGGAUGCUGCGAUGAGUUCGUGAGAGAUCUAGGCCGUCGUCUCCCAGUCAACUUUGGGUUGCUGGACCGUUGUCUCCUUAUAAUGUAAUUACUUAAUUAUUUUGUAUAGAACUCCUGUUAUGUAGUAAAGAUGUGACAUUCGAUCCUGUGCCAUGAUUCAUCAUAUGUGUGAGACUUGGUCCCAGCACACCUGGUGUUUAUGUUCGCGCCCGGGUUUUUGGACCCCUAAAAUCCGGGUGUGACAGAAGUGGUAUCAGAGGAAUGUGGACUGUAGGACGAAACCUAGAUAGAACUGGACAACCAAUACUUACUUACCUUUGCUACUCUGAUUCUUUUCUAAACUUAUCUUAAUCUUUUCUCGUCUAUUUCCGCUCUACUCUGAUUAUUCUUACCUUUUCUUUCCAAAGACAAAUGUGGAUUUCACACUUUGAAAUCUUGUGCCUAAAGUGACUUUUAGGAAUAGGAGACUUCAUCUUAGGAACAAAAACAAAACUAUUUUUUUAUAUAAUUAUCUGUGCCCUUGAAUGUUUGUUCUUAUGAUACUUGCCUGAUUUGGAUCUUUGAUUGAGUGUGAUGAGUUGUGGAGUAAUGUCCACAAUUACAUCUGCAUAUACAUAUAGAAAAAAAAACACCUAUAAAAAAAAUAACUAGAUAAACUAGAGUAUCUAGCCUAACAAUAUCCAUCUUAGCUUAAAAGAUUCAUAUUCUACACUCAUAGAUCCAUCUUAUCUUAAAAGAUACUCUAUUACCUUAAUAGAUUAAUCUUAUCUUGAAAAGAUUUUAUCUUAUCCUAAUAGAUCUAACUAACCUCAAAAGAUUCUACCUUAUCCCUAUGAAUGCAUCUUGCCCUAAUAAGCAUAUUUACCCCCACACUAGUGUAACAACCAUGAUCUAAUCCAAAGUAAUUAGACAUUAUCUAGUCUAACCUAGUUGUACCGAUCUAAUCUAGAUCCCAUCUAAUCUACUAUGAUCCAAUUUAAAGAGAGUGACCUAAGAAGUUAGUUAAUCCUAGUGAAAUACAUUAGACCCUGCUCCUAUAAACAAGUUUGAGAUCCUAGAUCAACUCGGCCAUACCCAACAACUUGACCUACAUAAUAGAUCUAUCUUAACCUCCUGUCCCAAACCCGGAUGGAGACACCAAAGAGCAAGAAGGAGGAGAUCAACCUCGACAUGGAAGAAUAGGAGUCAAAUCAGAUCUCGAGAUGAUUCAAAUUUACCACCUUGGACGGAGUCUUCCCUUAUCAAGUUCUUCUUACCAUCAGCUAACCUCACUCUGACCAUCUCUCUUCUUACAUGUGUGUCUAAACAUAGAAGAUACCCAUGCACUCCUAAUCACCCACUUUUGACUAUAAAAUACUCUGGAUAUUUGAAACAAUUAUAGACUAAAAGUUGAAUUACAAGCCAAUCGUUUUGUAUUCCUUUCCUUACAAAUCUCGAGGACGAGAUUAUUUUUAAGGGGGGUAGGAUUUGUAACACCCAGUUUGUAACCUAUAAUAAAAGAGGAGAAAUUAAUUCCUUUAUCUAUAUGAGUGUUAUUCCUACUUAUCAUCACAUGUGAACACCAUAAUCAAAAAAAUAAUAAUUAAUAAAAGACUUACCAAAAAAAAUGUGUGCAUCAUGUUGGUUCUUUAUUUUGUGUGCAUUAUGUGGCAAUAUAAAAGUAAUGUGACAAGAAAUAUAUUAAAUUCCCAAGUGGAAAUUUAGAAUUUAAAAGAAAUCCUAGAAUUGAGAAAAGAAGAGAAAUUAAUAGGGGAAUAAAAAUAAGUAUAAAAAUAUAUACAUUAUUCUUAUACAUAUUGGAUUUUGAAUAUUUUACUCAAAGGUUAAGUCCACAAAAAGGGAUUCAAAUUCAAACUAGAGAUUCAAAUGAAUAUAUAUAAAAAAAGAUAAAAGAAAAAGGGGAAAGAAGCCAACUGGGCCUCAGGCUUCAUUUCGGCCCAGUAACCAAAACACACCAUGCGGCCCGUCCAGCCGCCUGGUGGUGGUGCCGACAGGUGGGCCACCCUUGUCAUCCCGCUCUCACGCGCACUUGGCAAGAAACUUGUUACGCUGCUGGCGGGCCCCACUCGUCAGACUUAUCUCCCUUCUCACAACAACCCCCGCGUCAGCGCAACAGAACCGUGGUGCUGCCCAGGGAUUCCGAGCUCGCGCAUACGCCUACCGAAAUCGAAGCCGAAAUUCGUGGAAGACUACCUGCUCGGGCUGCCAUCCUCCCUCCGAUUUUCCCCGUCGCAACCAUCGCCGUUGAUCUCGGAUGCCGUUGAGGGUAGUCCGCACAUGGGGAAGGCCUAUAAGUUGGGCGAUGUGCGUUCCUCCUCCUAUCCCACCUCUCCAGAAGUUUCGUGGCCGGGCAGGGUGAGAUACUCGCGGUUGGGAGCUCGACGGAACCACCGUCACGUGGUCAUCUGUGCUGCUCCAUGGUCGCGUGCGUGGGCAUCGAGCGACCGCCUGCGUAGGGAGGAAAAGGGUUAGCCGCCGCGUCGUUUCCUCGGAACGCCGUCGUCCUGGCUCGGGUAGCCGCAAUUGAGGUUCGCGAGAGCACGUGGGUCAUCGUCAGGCUAGGCGCCAGGUGUGGCGGUCUCCAGAAUCCGACUAAUUCGUCGCCGGGGUUUUCUUUCGCGGCGGAAAUUGUGGUCGGCCGUGGCCGGCUGAUCUGGGCGCCAAAUCGACCGGUACGACCUAACCUAUUACCUUCCUCGCCAUAACCGCAUUCGUUUUUAUAAAUCCGGGGGUCGAAGUAGUUGGCCGGGUCGCGCAAAUCGCUUGCCGCGGCGGAACUCCGGUGGGCGUUUGGGGGUGGCGCAGCCGCAGGCGGCCGAGGGAGGAAGAUACACUUGCGCCGUCGGAUGGGAGUUGGACGGGGAUGAUUAGAAUUGAGCGUACCCUUUCGCUGAUGCCAUCUGGGCUGUUCGACUGGUCUCGGACGGGUGCGAUCAGGGCGCGCUUAUUUUAAACCAGGGCCGUGAAAUCUAGAUCCGACGGCUAGGGUUGAGCGCGGAGGGUAACUCGCCUGGAUCUAAUCUGACACGUCUGUUUCAGAUCGGGCGGUCUGAACUUGUCGAUACCGCUUCGUUGGCCACUUUGCUAAAGAGCCCUCGGGAAACUCAGAAACCAACCCGCGAUCCGUCCCUGGUAGAUUCUGAGUCUGGAGAAAUCUUAUAAGCUAGCCCCUGUCUUUCCCUGUAAUAGGCGCCUAGUCCAGAGAGUUAUAAAAUCAGAGAAAUGAAUUAGAAAAUGAGUUUUUAAAAUAAAAACAAUACCUAGAUUUUGUAUAAUUCAUAGAAAAUGCAUAUGAACUCCAAAUUAGUUCAUUCCAGUUUCUAAAUUUUCAUAAUAUUAUUGUCUAACCAUUGGUGCCUCUGUUUGGCAUGAAAGACACAUUAAAAUUUAUCUAAUACUUAAUCAUGUAUUAAAUACAUAAAAUCUUGGAAAAUUCAUAACUUAAAAUCUAUAACUCCAAAUUUAAUGAUUCCAGUUCCUGUGAUCUUAUUUUAAUAUCUAGAUUAUUACUGUGUAUUUUAUUUACAUGCUUGGUGUAAUGUUAAUUUUGCCUAUACAAUGUUUGUUUGUAUUGCUACGACUACAGCGAGGACACGUGUCAUCUGAAGAUCAUCCUGGUACCUGGAAUCUCAAGUCACAGGCAAGUUGUGCCCUUGAUCACUUCUUUUACCUACUCAUGUUCUGAUUAAUCAUAAUGAUCUGCAUAGGUUACUUUUGAUGGGACCCAAUAGGUCACCCUAGUUUGUUCAUCCUGAAUACCUUGUUUACCCCUAAAUCACUUGGGUAGUUCUGCUACUGCUUUAUAUGGUUUUGGGUUAAUAUUUCAUUACAUCUAUGUUCCAAUUAUGUUGUUAUUCUAUUUAUGUUCAUGACAAGAUCAUUAAAAUGUUAAUUGGAACAUAGAGCUUAACUUGAGAACCACGUGCCACCACAAGGGUUUAAUGGGACGCCCUUGGCUGACUAAUUAGGAAAGCUAGUGGAGGACUACCUUACCCGAAAGGGGCAAGGGCAGUAGGGGAGUGGUCAGUGUAGGGAGGCCCUCGGGAGGAUUUUGCUGCGAUGGCGGUCCUGCAAGGGAUUCCUGCAUUGGAGCUUCCUAUAAACUGUAGCGGGUUUUCUGAAGCUAGUGGAACUUUGUAAAGGCCUCGUAGUGUUACCCUGCCUCGCCUCCUCGGUAGAGGUGUAUGGGAAGUCGCGAUCCCUUGGCAGAUGGGUAACAUGACUUGUGGGUAAAGGGUACCACCUCUGCAGAGUGUAAAACUGGUAUACUAGCCGAGCUCACGGUCAUGAGCAGCUCAGGACUCUUUGAUGAUUAAAUUAUGGAACUUAAACUCAAUUUGUCAUAUGCAUUGCAUUGCAGGUGAGGUUGUUACUUUUGUUCUACUACUUAAUUGGGUUGGUAUUUACUAAUUGCUAAUAAAAUUUUGACCAACUUUAAAAGCAAUGCUCAGCUUCAACCAUCCUCUUUGGUAAGCCUUACACUUCACAUGAGCUCCCACCUUUGGCGAGUUCAUGCACAUUAUUCCCCACAACUUGUUGAGCGAUGAACGUAUGUGAGCUCACUCUUGCUGUCUCACACCCCCCCCCACAGGUCAAGAACAGGUACCGCAGGAUGAGGCGCUUGGAGGAUGCUGCGAUGAGUUCGUGAGAGAUCUAGGCCGUCGUCUCCCAGUCAACUUUGGGUUGCUGGACCGUUGUCUCCUUAUAAUGUAAUUACUUAAUUAUUUUGUAUAGAACUCCUGUUAUGUAGUAAAGAUGUGACAUUCGAUCCUGUGCCAUGAUUCAUCAUAUGUGUGAGACUUGGUCCCAGCACACCUGGUGUUUAUGUUCGCGCCCGGGUUUUUGGACCCCUAAAAUCCGGGUGUGACAAGAAACCUUUGUCUAGCCAUGAAGCGGGUUCUGUGUUGUGUCAAACAUGUCAUAGAACGCCCUUGUGGCCGCCUCUGGCUCAUCACACGUACGUCCUUCAGCGAACUAUGCCUCAUGAUAGUCGUUCAAUAUGUCCGCUACCCCGACACCAGCAUUAUAAUACUCGAUGUGUUGUCUUACCACCUCCUCUCUCAUAAGAUGCAGUUCACCAUGGAAGAUCCACCGGGUAUAGUCUAUCGUAAAUCCAUUCUUCCAAAUAUGUUCUCUCAUGACCUUCUUUGUUUGUUUUUCCUGUUUGUACAUUUGCUGCACUGACAUGGGACUAGACUUGCUCCUUUAGAAGCUUCGCCAAAUGUCCGUUCCAAGAAAACAUCAAUCUUUGUAAUCCAUUCACUAGUGACAUCACCACUUCUUACGUGGCCUGUGUACAUCCACUCACGAUACUCCAUCCUCUAACAUAUAUAGCACAGAGAAUUAUAAACCUCUAAUGCUUCUACACUACGCUCGUACCUUCUAAUAGGUGAGGAUAUGUCCUAAUCCCACCCGAGGUUGCUUAGAUGGGGUUAGUGUCCAUGCUCUACUCCGAUCCAAGACAGAAUUUUGGCAGCAUGAAAGGGAAUUAGGCUUACACCUAGUUCCUAAAUAGUUUUGGUGGUUGAAUCGCCCAACACAAAUAAAUUGGACUAACUAGUUUGCUCUAGAUUACAUGUUCUACAGGUGCCAAAGGUUCAUCUACAACUAUACUAAUUCGACUGUCCGGAAUACCGUAGAUUAUUCCGGACAGGAGAAGCUUUUUGGAAAAACAGGCCAAGCGCGGACCGUCCGGGCUCUUGCGGCGGACCGUCCGCGACAUCGGGAUACCCCUCGGACAGAACCAAUGCAAAAACACAAGUUUCCACUACAGACUGUCCGGAGGAAAAGCGAAGACCGUCCGAGCCCUCGCGCGGACCGUCCGGCCUCAGGCGCGGACCGUCCGGUCGGUAAGGAACCGAAAAACCCGAAGGUGACGGGUUCGGAGAAAUGAAUUUUAGCGGCCUCGCGGACCGUCCGGGCCAGGCGGGCGGACCGUCCGCGACUGGCUCCGUCUGACAUCUGACGUCGCAUUAAAUGCAAUAUAGCCGUUGAUAUAGCCGUUACUGCUGACCGUUGCAUCUUCAGCCGUUGAUCUACAGGGGCGGACCGUCCGCACCAGGAGGGCGGACCGUCCGCGCUCAGCAGAAAGGCCCAACGGCUAGGAAGUGGUUGGUGGCUAUAAAUACAACCCCAACCACCUCCAUUCACUUUAUCCAAGCAUUCCAACCUUCAACAUUCAAUACAAGAGCUAGCAAUCCAUUCCAAGACACUUUCAAAGCCUCCAUCUCUCCAAGUUUCACUAUUGAGAUAAGAGAUCAUUAGUGAUUAGUGGCUUGAGAGAGAAAGCGAUCCGUGUGUCAUUUGUCGCUCUUGUUGCUUGGCUUUUUAAUCGUGCUUUCUUGAUUCUUUCAUUGCGAUCAAACUCACUUGUAAUUAAGGCAAGAGACACCAAUCUUGUGGUGAUCCUUGUAGGAACUUUGUGUUCCAAGUGAUUGAGAAAAGAAAGCUCACUCGAUCCGUGGAUCGUUUGAGAGAGGGAAGGGUUGAAAGAGACCCGGCCUUUGUGGCCUCCUCAACGGGGAGUAGGUUUGCAAAAACCGAACCUCGGUAAAACAAAUCCGCGUGUCACCUCUCCAUUUGGUUGCGAUUUGUUUUGCGCCCUCUCUUGCGGACUCAUUUAUUAUUACUAACGCUAACCCCGGCUUGUAGUUGUGUUUAUAUUUGUAAAUUUCAGUUUCGCCCUAUUCACCCCCCCUCUAGGCGACUAUCAAUUGGUAUCAGAGCCCGGUGCUUCAUUAGAGCCUAACCGCUCGAAGAGAUGUCGGGAGAUCACGCCAAGAAGGAGAUGGAGACCGGCGACGAAAAGCCCACUACAAGCUACGGGAGCACUUCAUCGGAAGAGUCCCGCACCAAAAGGAGGGAGAAGAAGAAGAGCUCCUCCAACAAAGGGAAGGAGAAGAAAUCUUCUUCUCACCACAAAGAGAAGAAGGAAAAAUCUUCUUCCCACAAGCCGCAUCGGAAAGGCGAUAAGCACAAGAGGAUGAGGAAGGUGGUCUACUAUGAGACCGACACUUCAUCAACUUCUACCUCCGACUCCGAUGCGCCCUCCGUCACUUCUAAACGCCAAGAGCGUAAGAAGUAUAGUAAGAUUCCCCUACGCUAUCCUCGUAUUCCUAAACAUACACCUCUACUUUCCGUCCCUUUAGGUAAACCACCAACUUUUAAUGGUGAAGAUUAUGCUAUGUGGAGUAAUUUGAUGCGAUUUCAUCUAACCUCUCUCCACAAAAGAAUAUGGGAUGUUGUUGAGUAUGGUGUACAGGUACCAUCAAUAGGGGAUGAGGACUAUGACACGGACGAAGUGGCCCAAAUCGAGCACUUCAACUCCCAAGCCGCAACCAUCCUCCUUGCCUCCCUAAGCAAGGAGGAAUACAACAAAGUACAAGGAUUGAAGAACGCCAAGGAGAUUUGGGACCUACUCAAGACGGCGCACGAGGGUGAUGAACUCACCAAGAUCACCAAGCGGGAAACGAUCGAGGGGGAGCUCGGUCGCUUCCGUCUUCGCCAAGGGGAGGAGCCACAAGACAUGUACAACCGGCUCAAGACCUUGGUGAACCAAGUGCGCAACCUAGGGAGCACAAAAUGGGAUGACCACGAAGUGGUUAAGGUUAUUCUGAGAGCCCUUAUUUUCCUUAACCCUACUCAAGUACAAUUAAUUCGUGGCAAUCCUAGAUAUACACAAAUGACCCCCGAGGAAGUCAUCGGGAAUUUUGUUAGUUUUGAAUGCAUGAUUAAGGGCUCCAAGAAGAUCAACGAGCUUGAUGAGCCUUCCACAUCCGAGGCGCAACCCGUGGCCUUCAAGGCAACGGAGGAGAAGAAGGAGGAGUCUACACCAAGUAGACAACCAAUUGACGCCUCCAAGCUCGACAACGAGGAGAUGGCCCUAAUCAUCAAAAGCUUCCGGCAAAUCCUCAAGCAACGGAAGGGGAAGGACUACAAAUCCCGUUCCAAGAAGGUUUGCUACAAGUGUGGUAAGCCCGGUCACUUUAUUGCUAGAUGUCCAUUAUCAAGUGACAGUGACAGGGACAACGACAAGAAGGGCAAGAGGAAGGAGAAGAAGAAGUACUACAAGAAGAAGGGCGGCGAUGCCCAUGUUUGUCGGGAGUGGGACUCCGACGAAAGCUCAAGCGACUCCUCCGACGACGAGGACGCCGCCAACAUCGCCGUCACCAAAGGCCUCCUCUUCCCCAACGUCGGCCACAAGUGCCUCAUGGCCAAGGACGGCAAAAAGAAGGUAAAAUCAAAGUCCUCCACUAAAUAUGAAACAUCUAGUGAUGAGGAUGAUAAAAAUGAGGAAGAUAACUUGCGUAUUCUUUUUGCCAACCUUAACAUGGAACAAAAGGAAAAAUUAAAUGAGCUAAUUAGUGCUAUCCAUGAAAAGGAUGAUCUCUUGGACUCCCAAGAGGACUUCCUAAUCAAGGAAAACAAGAAACAUGUUAAGGUUAAAAAUGCUUAUGCUCUAGAAAGAGAAAAAUGUGAAAAAUUGUCUAGUGAGCUAAGCACUUGCCAUGAGAUUUUAGACAACCUUAGAAAUGAAAAUGCUAAUUUGUUAGCUAAGGUUGAUUCUCAUGUUUGCAUUGAUCCUAGAAAUAAUGAUGUUGAUUUGCUUGCUAGGAUUGAUGAAUUGAAUGCUUCCAUCGCUAGCCUUAGAAAUGAGAAUGAGAAAUUAAUUGCUAAGGCUAAAAAUUUUGAUGUUUGCAAUACUACUAUUUCUGACCUUAGAACUAAGAAUGAUUUGUUGCAUGCUAAGGUUAUUGAAUUAAAGUCUUGCAAACCCUCUACAUCUACUAUUGAGCAUGUGUCCAUUUGCACUAGAUGUAGAGAUAUUAAUGUUGAUGCUAUCCAUGAUCACCUUGCCUUAAUUAAAAAACAAAAUGAUCACAUAGCACAACUUAAUGCUAAAAUUAGAGAGCAUGACUUAGAAAAUGAAAAAUUUAAAUUUGCUAGAAGCAUGCUCUAUAAUGGGAGACGCCCGGGCAUUAAGGACGGCAUUGGCUUUCAAAAGGGAGACAAUGUCAAAAUUAAUGCCCCUCCUAAGAACUUGUCUAACUUUGUUAAGGGCAAGGCUCCCAUGCCUCAGGAUAACGAGGGUUACAUUUUGUACCCUGCCGGGUAUCCUGAGAAUAAGAUUAAGAAAAUUCAUUCUAGGAAGUCUCACUCUGGCCCUAAUUAUGCUUUUAUGUAUAAGGGUGAGACAUCUAGAUCUAGGCAACCAACCCAUGCCAAGUUGCCUAGAAAGAAAACUAUUAAUGCAUCAAAUGAUCAUGACAUUUCAUUUAAAACUUUUGAUGCAUCUUAUGUGUUGACUAGUAAAUCUGGCAAGGUAGUUGCCAAAAUUGUUGGGGGCAAACACACGGGCUCCAAAACGUGUGUUUGGGUACCCAAAGUUCUUGUAUCUAAUGCUAAAGGACCCAAAACCGUUUGGGUACCUAAAACAAAGAACUAAACUUGUUUUGUAGGUUUAUGCAUCCGGGGGCUCAAGUUGGAUACUCGACAGUGGGUGCACAAACCAUAUGACAGGGGAGAAAAGGAUGUUCUCCUCAUAUGAGAAAAACCAAGAUCCCCAACGAGCUAUCACAUUCGGGGAUGGAAAUCAAGGUUUGGUCAAAGGUUUGGGUAAAAUUGCUAUAUCACCUGACCAUACUAUUUCCAAUGUUUUUCUUGUAGAUUCUUUAGAUUACAAUUUGCUUUCCGUAUCCCAAUUAUGUAAAAUGGGCUACAACUGUCUUUUUACUGAUACUGGUGUUACUGUCUUUAGAAGAAGUGACGAUUCAAUAGCUUUUAAGGGAGUGUUAGAGGGUCAGCUAUACUUGGUAGAUUUUGAAAGAGCUGAACUCGACACUUGCUUAGUUGCUAAGACUAACUUGGGUUGGCUUUGGCACCGCCGACUAGCCCAUGUUGGAAUGAAGAAUCUUCACAAGCUUCUAAAGGGAGAACACAUUUUAGGACUAACAAAUGUUCAUUUUGAGAAAGACAGGAUUUGUAGCGCAUGUCAAGCAGGGAAGCAAGUUGGCACUCAUCAUCCACACAAAAACAUAAUGACUACCGACAGGCCACUGGAGCUUCUACACAUGGAUUUGUUCGGCCCGAUCGCUUACAUAAGCAUCGGCGGUAGUAAGUAUUGUCUCGUAAUUGUGGAUGAUUAUUCUCGCUUCACUUGGGUAUUCUUUUUACAGGAAAAAUCUCAAACCCAAGAGACCUUAAAGGGAUUCUUGAGACGAGCUCAAAAUGAGUUCGGCUUAAGGAUCAAGAAAAUAAGAAGCGACAACGGGACGGAGUUCAAGAACUCUCAAAUUGAAGGCUUCCUUGAGGAGGAGGGCAUCAAGCAUGAGUUCUCUUCUCCCUACACGCCACAACAAAACGGUGUAGUGGAGAGGAAGAAUCGAACUCUAUUGGACAUGGCAAGAACCAUGCUUGAUGAGUACAAGACACCGGACCGGUUUUGGGCCGAAGCGGUCAACACCGCCUGCUACGCCAUCAACCGGUUAUAUCUUCACCGAAUCCUCAAGAAGACAUCAUAUGAACUCCUAACCGGUAAAAAGCCCAACAUUUCAUAUUUUAGAGUUUUUGGUAGCAAAUGCUUCAUUCUUAUUAAAAGAGGUAGAAAAUCUAAAUUUGCUCCUAAAACUGUAGAAGGCUUUUUACUUGGUUAUGAUUCAAACACAAGGGCAUAUAGGGUCUUUAACAAGUCCACUGGACUAGUUGAAGUCUCUUGUGACGUUGUGUUUGAUGAGACUAACGGCUCUCAAGUAGAGCAAGUUGAUCUUGAUGAGAUAGGUGAAGAACAGGCUCCAUGCAUCGCACUAAGGAACAUGUCCAUCGGGGAUGUGUGUCCUAAGGAAUCCGAAGAGCCUCCAAGUACACAAGAUCAACCAUCCUCCUCCAUGCAAACAUCUCCACCAACUCAAAAUGAGGAUGAGGCUCAAAAUGAUGAAGAGCAAAAUCAAGAGGACGAGCCACCUCAAAAUGAUAGCAAUGAUCAAGGGGGAGAUACAAAUGAUCAAGAAAAGGAGGAUGAGGAAGAAUCAAGACCGCCACACCCAAGAGUCCACCAAGCAAUCCAACGAGAUCACCCCGUCGACACAAUCCUCGGCGACAUUCAUAAGGGGGUAACUACUCGAUCUCGGGUUGCUCAUUUUUGUGAACAUUACUCUUUUGUUUCCUCUAUUGAGCCACACAGGGUAGAGGAAGCUCUCCAAGAUUCGGAUUGGGUGGUGGCGAUGCAAGAGGAGCUCAACAAUUUCACGAGGAACGAGGUAUGGCAUUUAGUUCCGCGUCCUAACCAAAAUGUUGUAGGAACCAAAUGGGUCUUCCGCAACAAGCAAGAUGAGCAUGGUGUGGUGACAAGGAACAAAGCUCGACUCGUGGCCAAAGGGUAUUCACAAGUCGAAGGUUUGGAUUUUGGUGAAACCUAUGCACCCGUAGCUAGGCUUGAGUCAAUUCGCAUAUUAUUGGCCUAUGCUACUUACCAUGGCUUUAAGCUCUAUCAAAUGGACGUAAAAAGUGCCUUCCUCAACGGACCAAUCAAGGAAGAGGUCUAUGUUGAGCAACCUCCCGGCUUUGAAGACAGUGAGUAUCCUAAUCAUGUCUAUAGGCUCUCUAAGGCGCUUUAUGGGCUCAAGCAAGCCCCAAGAGCGUGGUAUGAAUGCCUUAGAGAUUUCCUUAUUGCUAAUGGCUUCAAAGUCGGCAAGGCCGAUCCUACACUCUUUACUAAAACUCUUGAAAAUGACUUGUUUGUAUGCCAAAUUUAUGUUGAUGAUAUUAUAUUUGGGUCUACUAACGAGUCUACAUGUGAAGAGUUUAGUAGGAUCAUGACACAGAAAUUCGAGAUGUCGAUGAUGGGGGAGUUGAAGUAUUUUCUAGGAUUCCAAGUCAAGCAACUCCAAGAGGGCACCUUCAUUUGCCAAACAAAGUACACUCAAGACAUUCUAACCAAGUUUGGGAUGAAGGAUGCCAAACCCAUCAAGACACCCAUGGGAACUAAUGGGCAUCUCGACCUCGACACGGGAGGUAAGUCCGUGGAUCAAAAGGUAUACCGGUCGAUGAUUGGUUCAUUGCUUUAUUUAUGUGCAUCUCGACCGGACAUUAUGCUUUCCGUUUGCAUGUGUGCAAGAUUCCAAUCCGACCCUAAGGAAUCACACCUUACGGCCGUAAAACGAAUCUUGAGAUAUUUGGCUUAUACACCUAAGUUUGGGCUUUGGUACCCUCGGGGAUCCACAUUUGAUUUACUUGGUUAUUCGGAUGCCGAUUGGGCGGGGUGCAAAAUCAAUAGGAAGAGCACAUCGGGGACUUGCCAGUUCCUGGGAAGAUCCUUGGUGUCUUGGGCUUCAAAGAAGCAAAAUUCGGUCGCUCUUUCCACCGCCGAAGCCGAGUACAUUGCCGCAGGACAUUGUUGCGCGCAAUUGCUUUGGAUGAGGCAAACCCUGCGGGACUACGGUUACAAAUUAACCAAAGUCCCUUUGCUAUGUGAUAAUGAGAGUGCAAUUAAGAUGGCCGACAAUCCCGUCGAGCAUAGCCGCACUAAGCACAUAGCCAUUCGGUAUCAUUUUCUUAGGGAUCACCAACAAAAGGGGGAUAUCGAGAUUUCUUACAUUAAUACUAAAGAUCAAUUAGCCGAUAUCUUUACCAAGCCACUUGAUGAACAAUCCUUUACCAGACUUAGGCAUGAGCUCAAUAUUCUUGAUUCUAGAAAUUUCUUUUGCUAGCUUGCACACAUAGCUCAUUUAAAUACCUUUGAUCAUAUCUCUUUUAUAUGCUAUGACUAAUGUGUUUUCAAGUCGAUUUCAAACCAAGUCAUAGGAAUAUUGAAAGGGAACUGGAGUCUUCGGCGAAGACAAAGGCUUCCACUCCGUAACUCAUGCUUCGCCAUCACUCCGAGCAACUCUCUAUUCCUUGGGGAGAAAUGAGCAUCAAAGAAAAGGACUUCAUCCUUCGAGGAGAGAGUAAAAGCUCAAAAGCAAAAAGACCGGAUUUCGUCUCUGGUAUAAUCUUAACUCAUUUAUUUAUGACCAAAGGAGAUGAUCGCGCUUCGAGGGCUCUAAUGAUUCCGUUUUUGGCGAUUCAUGCCAAAAAGGGGGAGAAAUGAGCCCAAAGCAAAAGGACCGCACCACCACCACCAAAUUCAAAAACUUAGUGCUUUCCAAAAGUCUUUAUCAUUUGGUAUCCUAUUGUGUUCAAAAGGGGGAGAAAGUAGUAUUUCAAAAAUGGUAUAUCAAAACCCUCUUGAACACUAAGAGGUGGAUCUCUUUUAGGGGGAGUUUUGUUUAGUCAAAGGAAAAGCAUUUGAAACAGGGGGAGGAAAUUUCAAAUCUUAAAAAUGCUUUUGCAAAUUCUUAUUUAUUUACCUUUGACUAUUUGCAAAAGAUCUAUGAAAAGGAUUUACAAAAGGUUUUGCAAAAACAAAACAAGUGGUGCAAACGUGGUCCAAAAUGUUAUAUAAGAAAGAAACAAUUCAUGCAUAUUUUGCAAGUAUUUAUAUUGGCUCAAUUCCAAGCAACCUUUGCACUUAUAUUAUGCAAACUAGUUCAAUUAUGCACUUCCAUAUUUGCUUUGGUUUGUGUUGGCAUCAAUCACCAAAAAGGGGGAGAUUGAAAGGGAAUUAGGCUUACACCUAGUUCCUAAAUAGUUUUGGUGGUUGAAUCGCCCAACACAAAUAAAUUGGACUAACUAGUUUGCUCUAGAUUACAUGUUCUACAGGUGCCAAAGGUUCAUCUACAACUAUACUAAUUCGACUGUCCGGAAUACCGUAGAUUAUUCCGGACAGGAGAAGCUUUUUGGAAAAACAGGCCAAGCGCGGACCGUCCGGGCUCUUGCGGCGGACCGUCCGCGACAUCGGGAUACCCCUCGGACAGAACCAAUGCAAAAACACAAGUUUCCACUACAGACUGUCCGGAGGAAAAGCGAAGACCGUCCGAGCCCUCGCGCGGACCGUCCGGCCUCAGGCGCGGACCGUCCGGUCGGUAAGGAACCGAAAAACCCGAAGGUGACGGGUUCGGAGAAAUGAAUUUUAGCGGCCUCGCGGACCGUCCGGGCCAGGCGGGCGGACCGUCCGCGACUGGCUCCGUCUGACAUCUGACGUCGCAUUAAAUGCAAUAUAGCCGUUGAUAUAGCCGUUACUGCUGACCGUUGCAUCUUCAGCCGUUGAUCUACAGGGGCGGACCGUCCGCACCAGGAGGGCGGACCGUCCGCGCUCAGCAGAAAGGCCCAACGGCUAGGAAGUGGUUGGUGGCUAUAAAUACAACCCCAACCACCUCCAUUCACUUUAUCCAAGCAUUCCAACCUUCAACAUUCAAUACAAGAGCUAGCAAUCCAUUCCAAGACACUUUCAAAGCCUCCAUCUCUCCAAGUUUCACUAUUGAGAUAAGAGAUCAUUAGUGAUUAGUGGCUUGAGAGAGAAAGCGAUCCGUGUGUCAUUUGUCGCUCUUGUUGCUUGGCUUUUUAAUCGUGCUUUCUUGAUUCUUUCAUUGCGAUCAAACUCACUUGUAAUUAAGGCAAGAGACACCAAUCUUGUGGUGAUCCUUGUAGGAACUUUGUGUUCCAAGUGAUUGAGAAAAGAAAGCUCACUCGAUCCGUGGAUCGUUUGAGAGAGGGAAGGGUUGAAAGAGACCCGGCCUUUGUGGCCUCCUCAACGGGGAGUAGGUUUGCAAAAACCGAACCUCGGUAAAACAAAUCCGCGUGUCACCUCUCCAUUUGGUUGCGAUUUGUUUUGCGCCCUCUCUUGCGGACUCAUUUAUUAUUACUAACGCUAACCCCGGCUUGUAGUUGUGUUUAUAUUUGUAAAUUUCAGUUUCGCCCUAUUCACCCCCCCUCUAGGCGACUAUCACAGCACCUCUCUAUUGUUCUCCAAAUACACGUCUUGGCAGGGAGAGUGUGUAUGCGGAGAACAACAGGUAGCUGCUAUUGAAACUCUAUCUCGGAUCGAAGUAGAGCAUGGAAACUAACCUCAUCUACGCAAUUGCGCGCUGUCCAAAAAAUGUGGACAAUUUGAAAUAGAUAUUGUUAUAGAUAUGCAAAUAUCUUCAUAGUUCCAACUAUAUCUCUUUUGAACUGGAGAUGCCUAGCUGAGUUACGUGAUCUAUGACCAUGAUACAAAAAUAUAGGUUAUACCUAGGGUGGCGGUGAAGUCAGGCUAGCGGUGAUAUGGCGGGUUGGUGUAGUGGUGACAUAACGUGGUGCAGGAAGACUCACAGCGGCUAGGAAGACCUCUGCAAAAAAGAAACACCAGUCUAUCAACACAAAAUUUCGACAACACCUCCCCUGCAUAGUGAGGUUUCCAAAACCUGCAAAUAAAACUAACAACGUGAUGGCUGACAUGCACAUAUACAUGAUCUCAUGUGAACUUAUAUAAUAUAUAGUUUGCAUGUUGUUGAACAUCAAAUUUGUUGGUCAAAGUUAGGAGAGGUUAACUUAGGACAAACCUAUUAAUCCAAUUACAAUGUUAAUUUAGCCAUAACAAUAACAAUACUGGCUCCGAUUCACAAUAACAAUAACAAUUUAUAAUAUAGCCAUUACAAUUUGGUGAGCAACCCAAUUACAUUGUUAAUUUAAAAUUUUUCAAAUGCACAAUAACAAUCUCAACUUGUAAUUUAGCCAUUCAAUCAACAUAUAUAGGAGUUCAAAUCCACAAUAAUAAUCUCAACUUGCAAUUUAGCCUUUCAAUCAACAUAUAUAUGAGUACACCAAGAAUGUGCUUGAAUUAACUAAGUGGGGGGCUUGUUGGGCCAGCGGCGGUAGGGAUGACCGGAGCCGACAAUGGCAUGUAGCGAGCGUGGACCGGGGAGGUGGUCUGAGGCGGUGAGGAUCACCAGAGCUAUGGCUGGCGUGCUGAAGUAGAGGAGAGAAGAGUGAAGUCAAGAAGGUCGAUCAUUCAGGGUUUUGUACAACCGCUUUGCUAAGUACCCAAGAUCUGGCACUCAGCAAAGAAGUUUUUAUUAUUUAAAAAAUUUGUGUCGAGCCCUUUGUCGAGUGCCCCUGAUAGAAACUCGACAAAUAAUUUUUUAAAAAAAAACUGUGUCGAGUGCACCUAUGUAGGCACUCGGUAAAGGACCACUUUGCAGAGUGUCAUACUUGGACAGUUGGCAAAGCUUAUUUCUACUGUGUUCCUACAUACAUAGACCUACAUAUGAAUUUUUGGUAUUUUCUCAAAGUGAUUGCUAUACCUAUUAGAUUUAGCACAUUUAAUUAAAUUUCUUUAGAUAAUUCAAAUUUGAACUGCAAGCCUCUCGAAUAAUGGAAAAGAAUGAAUGUAAAAUUGAUAUUAAUGUUAUUGAGAACAUGUUGCGACCUUAUUCAAGAAUAGACUGGAAAUUUUGAACAUUAUGUUCACAAAACAUUUACACGAACUUGCGAUCUAGUUUUACAAAAAUGUAUAAUACCCAAACACAGUCAGAAAAUCAUGAAAUUUAUCGAGAUGUAAUGAUAUCAUGUGUAGAGUCUGUGAUAAAAAUUUGACACUUUUUCGUAAAAGUUGUCACGCACUAUAUGUACAAAUCUAGGCGGCCUUCGCAUGAAAUCAUGAAACUUAUACGAGGGCUGACUAGGUUUUUACACAUCGUACGUGACAACUUUCACGAAACAACAAGUUUCACGAAACACUGUCAAAUUUUUAUCACAGGCUCUACAUAUGAUAUCAUGACGUCUCAACAAGUUUCAUGAUUUCCUGACUUUGUUUGUGUUUUAUACUAUUUUAAAACAACUAGAUUGCAAGUUCGCGGUUAUGUAUUCGUAAACAUGGUGUUCGAAAUUUCUGGUCUGUUCCUAAAUUAGGCCAUAACUUGUGCUCGAGAACAUGAAUAUCAUUUUUGCAUUCAUUGUUUUCCCAUUUUUCGAGUGACUUGCAGUUAAAUUUGAAUUAGCCGAAUAAAUUCAAUUAAAUGAACUAAAUCUAAUAGAUAUAGCAAACACUUUGAUAAAUGUGCCAAAAUAGAACAUGUAGGUCCAGAGACUGUAGGAGUACACCACAAAAAAGUUAGGGUCAAAAAUAAAAAUAAGAUAAAUAAACUUUGUUGAGUGUCAAGAAAAGACCUUCGUCAAAAGAAUUCUUUGCCGAGUGUCCAAGCCUUUGUCGAGUGUCUUCUAUGGACACUGAGCACAGAUAACUGCCGUCAGCUGUCGUCAGCUUGCCGAGUGUGUUGUUGUGCCGAGAGUCGGACACUCAGCAAAAAUGUAUUUGUUGAGUGUAUUUUGUUGCUGUGUGUUUGGCUCUCUCUGAAUAGUAUGUUUACCGAGUGUUCUUAUUUGCCGAGUGGCCAAGAUUUGGCUCUCGGUAAAGCCAGAGCACUUGACAAAGAAGUCGUCUCCGGUAUCUAGUGUAACUAAGAGCUCAAAUGAAUUAUGAAGAAACAUUUAGACUCUGAUAUAUUACCACCAUGUGUGUGGGUCAGGGCGUGGUUUAAACGACCAAUCAAUUAACAAAAAUGGCUAACCACCAUGUAACCUUUAAAUAGUGCAUAAGUGGGCUAAACGGUUAUUACUCCAACAAUGGUACAAACAUAACAAUAAAAACAUUGCACCAAGCAUUAGAAAAGCAUGUAGCUUGUUUCUACAACCACCUCAACCUAUGGUUAAGCUUUUGAAGUUUUAGAGACUUAUCUGUAAAUAAUUAGAGGAGCUAGUAGCAAGAGGAAGAAGAAUAGUCGGAGCAGAGAGGAAGCCGCACGUUGCGAGUGGAAAAAAUCGCUUGAGCGCCUUCAACAUCAGCAGAGCACCCAUCGCGGCGUGGAUGCGCGCGCUCGGCUGUCUUGCACUCGCCGUCGCUGUCAUCGUCUGUCCGACUCCCUGAAUCCCCGAUUAAACUCAUCGACUCGCCAUCUCCGGCCCUCCCGUCCCCGACGAUCAAACCGAGUUAUUGAGCUGGACGUGGUGGCCGUACGUGGCCGUGUGGCCGGAUUCGCUCGCUAGCAGCUAGCUCGUGCAGGAGCAAGGAAGGAUCCGAGGUGGUCCUGCUCGGUCGGCGAAGACUCUUCUCUGCUCGUCCCCUUCCUCCCCGUGCAAUCUGCGCCGCGGACAAGCUCUCUGCCGUUAGACGCCGCAUCCGCCGUCUCUCUCAAGUCUCAACUCUCCGGCCGGCAGUUCAGCUCGUCGUGGCUUGUGAAACGAUAAGUUAAGAACGGACAACCGAAGGCAAAGGACAAGGGAAAAGAUAUUCAUCCAAGUUCCGGGCUUGGGAUUCGGCUGCGUCUGCUUGGCUUUGCUCCUUGCCUCCGGUGGUCUGCCCUCUCUCACGUGUGAUGUGAUGUGGAUGCCGCUUGUCGUGAUUGGCUUCCUUAAUAUUGCUCCUUGGCACCAUUCAGCAGAUGACAAAAAGUUCACACGACUUCCUCUUUUAAAUAGAUGUCAAAAUCCUUUGCGUGACUAUCUGGUUUAAUAGAGAUUCGUUAAAAUCCAGGCAUCUGAAUUUUAGUUAUAUUUUUUCACCCUACAUGCUUAUGAGCAUCUCCACUAGUUCCAAAAAUAAGUCCAUAAAUUUAAUUUAGGGUGUUAUUAACGAAAAAAAUUUAUCCUUCAACAGUUUCUUAAAUGAGAUUUUUAAAUAUAUCAACUUUCUAAAUAUCUCUAUUUAGCUCAUAAACUUAGGCACCUCUUGCUCACUCCCAAUAGUAUAUUUUAUGGGUCGUUAAAAUCAUUUCUUACCAUCGAGUCUGCAUCCGUGUACUAGUGAUGCACUCUGAAUGAUUUGAGACGUGGAAAGGAUGAAUUCAUGAUCCACGUUUGACAUGUCUACUCAUCCAAUUUUUUUGAGAAAACCGACCAAUCGUGAUUUAUACAGAAUGAAAAUAUUAAUAAAGAGAAGAACAAUGAUUAUUGAACUUUAUCAUGCAAUUGAAAUCAAAUUUGAAGUUACAAGUAAUAACUAGAAAAGCCGAGUUAACAUAAUUUCAAAAUAUUUAACAACCUAGAAUUGGGAACUGUUGGGGACUAAGGUUGAUUUUGUUCCCAAUAUGUAUUAGGACAAUUGUGAUUAUACACUUUUCUCAACUUGUAAUUGUGAUUUUACCUCUCAUUUUUCGAUUUUGUGAUUUUACCCCUCUAUUUUGAAAAUGAAGCCGCCGGUUGCCACUCCCCUUAACACCGUUAGUGGAAAUCGAAAUCAGUGAUUAAAAAUAAAAACUGAGGGGUAAAAUUACAAUUGCAAGGUGAAAGAAGGGUAUAAUCACAAUUAAUCCUAAAAAUACAAUUGAAAUUUUCAGGGUUAAUUGUGAUUAUACCCUUCUCUCACCUUACAAUUGUGAUUUUACCCUUCGUCUUUUUAUUUUUUAAUCACCAAUUCUGAUUUUCAUUAAUGGUGUUAAGGGGGAGGGGCAAACAAUGGCUCCGUUUUCAAAACAGAUGGAUAAAAUCACAAAUUUGAAAAACAAGCGCUAAAAUCGUAAUUGCAAUACCGAAGAAGGGUAUAAUUACAAUUGCCCCAUAUGUAUUUAGCAACAUGCUAAAUCUAUGUGUAGGGAGUCUUUUUUUAGGUAACUAGUGGAGAUGAACAUAGACUUGCUAAAAUGCAAGUGUCUUAAAUUUAGUUUUUUUCAGGCUAUAGUAAUUAUAUACAUUCUAUACUUAAAUUGUCGAUUAUUAUGUUAUAACUUUUAUAGAUAUAAUCAGUGAUUUUCAGUGAUGAUGGGAGCUUUUGUAUAUGAAAAUCAGUGUAUGCAACUGAGAGCACCUAGAGGGGGGUGAAUAGGUGAUCCUGUGAAAAUCAAAUACUAAUAGCCACAAAACUUUAGUUAUGAAAGUUAGUACGACUAAGUAGCUUGAAGCGAUCUCUUGCGAGCACAAUUAAUCACAGAGAGGAGUAAAGCAAGAGACACGCGAUUUUUAUCCCGUGGUUCGACCAAGUAACACUUGCCUACUUCCACGUUGUGGUGUUCCAAUGGACGAGGAUUGCACUCAACCCCUUUCAAGUGAUCCAAUGAUCAACUUGAAUACCACAGCUUUCUUCCUUAGUCUUUUCUUCCGUUUGCGAGGAAUCUCCACAACUUGGAGCCUCUCGCCCUUACAAUGAUGAUCACAAAAGAAGCACAGAAGUAAGGGAGGGGAGAGCAACGCACACAAGACUCAAAUCACAGCACAAUCACGCACACAACUCACGACUUGAGCUCGAAGAACAAUACACGGAGUUCGCAACUCAAAUAGAGCUCAAAUCGCUAUCACAAAGAAUCGAAUGCGUGAAGUUGGAGUCUUGGAGUCUUAAGAUGCUUAGUGAAUGAUUGGGUAGCUCAUCCAUGCGCCUAGGGGUCCCUUUUAUAGCCCCAAGGCAGCUAGGAGCCGUUGGAGGCCAACAAGGAAGGUCAUCUUUGCCUUCUGUCGAGUGGCGCACCGGAUAGUUCGGUGCGCCACCGGACAGUCACUGUAGACGGUCCGGUGCAGAUCUCUUUCCUUUUCUGGCGCAGAUGACCGUUGCAUCUUCGGGGCAGUUGGCACACCGGACAGUCCGGUGCCCCCUGUCGACCGUUGGCGCGGGCCACGCGUCGCCCGUGGAUUGCGUGGCCGACCGUUGCGCUGGCUACCGUUGGCUCAUCGGACAGUUCGGUGCACCACCGGACAGUCCGGUGAAUUAUAGCCGUGCGCCGCCAAAUUUUCCCGAGAGCGGCAUGUUCACCGGAGUCUAGCCUGGCGCACCAGACACUGUCUGGUGCACCACCGGACAGUCCGGUGUACCAGACUGAGCUGAACUUCGGCUGCACACAACUAGUCUUUUGCAAUCCAUUUUUUCUUCUUUUCUCUGUUUCUAACACUUAUACAAAUAUAUUAGUAUACAAAAACAAAUGUACUAAGUCUAGAAACAUACUUCAUGCCUUGAUUUGCACUUUUUCAAUCUUUGGCAUAUUUAGAACUUUAGAGAAUAUGUGUUGGACACUUAAUCACCAAAACAUUAUAGAAAUGAUCCAAAGGCACAUUUCCCUUUCAGCAACAUUACCACGCAGACAAUUUUUAAUAAAUCAAAAUUAAUUUCUAGAGUGGUUUUUGAAACCGCAACUAAGCCAUUGAUUAUAUAAAAGAACAACGCCGGUUUUGUAAAUGGCCGUGAAAAUGAUUUUUUUAUAUAGUUUUAAAAUUGUAAAAAAAAUUAGGAAAAUGAAUUUUCGUGUAUCUAGAGGCUACCAUAUAUACUCGCAAGGUUUAUUGUUUUAUGUUUUUUUGGCACAAAUGCGGCAGAAUUCGAACACAUGAUCCGUUACUCGUGUGCACCCCUCCUUCCACAAGACAGUCACAUAUAACUAGGAUCGGAGUGGUAAUAAAUUUAAAUAUUUUUUCACGGUUUAUUUGAGCCUUUAAUUAAUUUUAGUUAAAAAAUAAAUAGAAAUAGAGUUGGAUAUAAAUACAAUAAGAUUUUUAAAUUUUAUAGUGUAAAAUUUAGAGUCCAUUAACAUGAUGCUAUCGUUUUACCAUUGACAUAUGUGGGUCUUGUAUUAAAGGUUCUACCUUCAAAUUUAUCUCAAAUAAAAUUAAUUUCAACUACAAAGUUUUAGAUGUCAAUGAGUAAUAUAACUUUUGCGCAGCACAUGUUUCCAACCAAAGGUUGUUUGAAAAAAAUCUAAAAUUUGAAUACCAAAAAGUGAAAUCAUAAAAAUGUAUAGUUGGACCCCAAAACAAUCUUAAAUACAAAAAAAUCAAGUACAGAGUUAUAAAUAUCAUUGAAUUCUAUAUUUUUUUAAUAAAGUUUACCUUUAUUUGAUUUCAUUUGAAACAGUGAUUCUUUUGGCAGCUAUUUUUAAGAAAUCACUUAUUUUUAGGAACGAUUGACAUAAGGAAUCACUCUAAAAGUAUAUUUUUAGGGGUUUUAGGUCGGUUUCUUAAGUCCUGCUCUUAAAAAUAAAUAGACUUUAGGGAAGUUUUUUUUUAAGUUAACCGUCCUGACAAAAAUGUGAGAGUUGUAGAAAUCAUCUGUAGAGUGCAGCUUGCUAAUGCAAGCUUUUUUGUAUGAAAACAUGAGAGAACUUUAUUUAUGUUAAUGGAUCUCCGUUAUGCUUUUUUGGGGUUGUUAAUAAACAUAUGCAGGUAUCCUCUCCUAGGCCUGGCAGCACAAGGGGGGACUGAAAGACGGAACGAGGAGAAAGGUCGUUCCUCGAAGGUCUGACUUAUGUGACAAGGGCGAAUUUAGCUAUGUUUUUCGGAGUCGGCCCGCCUCGAUAAAAUUUCUAAUUUCUUUUGCAAAACACUGUUACAAUUUAAGGAAAUUUAUAUCAUAUAGCAAGAUUAACACUGCUGGCACCGACAAUAUUCUUAACUAGAUUCUUGAGAUGCGACUGUUACAGCCGCACCCGAUCGAGCCAGUGUUUAUUGGUAUAUAAUUAAAGACCAUUUUUUCUCUAUGUUGUAGCUGCCCUAUGUGCCUCAUGCAGGCUGACUUCUCUCCCCUCUCGAACUGUCACUUGUCUGACCUGGUAACAGUUUGUCUCCCUAGAGAAGCAAAGCCUUGAUCAAUUCCAAGUCGUCGGCCCGGAACCCAAGAAAAUUAAGUAAAAGUAUUUGCAGGUCUGGCAAUACCGCAAUACAUGCAUGCGCAACAAUCAAUGUGCCUUCGGAAGGCAAGGCAUGGAAAUUGCAAAACACUAGGUAGCUUUGCUAUAUAUCCACCACCACCAUACAGGAGACAAUCCACACAUACAACACAGAAAGAGUGUAUAAAAUAUUGUUCUAUAAUCGAAAAUAUAGUCAAGUCACACGCGAGCUAUAGUCCUUCCAUAUCUCGGAACACUCGAGCUGCUACUUUGCCUUGAUCUCUAAGUUUCCAUGCCACUUUUGGGCCCGAGUCGGCUGGUUGGUCCAUGAGUUUAGCUGCCCGACCUACUUAGGCCCUUCAAUGGUCCAUGCUCCGGAUUCGCGCCAUGAGGAUCCAGGGGAUAUCUGUCCUCCAUAUUCUCCACCCUAUCCUAUAUAUUCUUGAAUCUAGAUGGAGGAGAACAUGUGUCUUUGACCUAGGAGUUCUAGGAUUACGACGAGAUUUAGGUCUGUGAUCAAUUAGUCGGUUAUGAAGAGUUUACUGGUGGAUUGAAUAAAUAUCGUGCUUAUGUAAUAAAUACUCUGUUUUGAUAUUAAUAAAGCAUUGUGUUUUGAUAUAAUCCACUGUAUGACAUCGCUACACAUGUGAUUCUUGACCUAGUUACAUGUUUAGUGGACAUUCGAUUUUGUCCUUAAAAUUGGGUGUUGCAGCUAAACAUAAUCAAUUCAAGUUAUAUAAUCUAUUUCAACCUGUAUAUACUAGAGAUUAGGAGUAAUUAUGACAAACGUAUACCAAAUCCCUCCAACAGUGGUAUCAACAACUAGAGACGAGUUAGUUUGUUAGUACUCGAUAAAUACAUUUACUCAUUACAUAUAGUGUUAUAACUUGUAAUUUUUCCUCUAAUAAUGAAUUUUGCUCUUUAUUACAUGAUGAAUGGGCUAAUGACUUUAUCAACAACAUAUUCGCUUAUGUAAGUAAUAGACGAAAUGUCGCAGAACCUCCCAAGUUAUCGGGCCCACAUGCACCUGUCCUUGUCUCAAAGACCUCAGACAGCUAUGCAUGUGCACCAAACAACUUAACAGGAUCUGUCCGAGUGCCCCGAGGACCCCGGAUAAACGACUUACCGCCAAGAUCGCAAGAUUAAGUAAACACAAAUCACACACCAAACAUUUGCAGCGGAAAUAAAUUCUUUAUUGCAAAAUGAUUACAUGUUACAAUAAGUUUACAUUAGACAGUUAUCGAAGUGAUUACAAAAGAAAGUGAUUCAAAAGAAUUACAAUUUAAAAUGUAUAAAAUAUUUAUAGGUUUUAAAAUACAUGCUAGCUUAAGUGACAAUCCUCAAUAAAGAAGCUAAAGAUGGGAUAUACUUAUAUAAGAAGGCCGAGCCCACCGGCACUUAGCACCAUCCACAACAGAACAAAAUUAUAACCUGAAAAACAACAGGGAAUAAAACCCUGAGUACACAAUUACUCAGCAAGACUUACCCGACUAAAGAAAAGACUCUCAAGGGUAUGCUGGUUUAUUGGGAAUCAAGGUAAAGCUUAUCAAAUUUCAAAGACUCAUUUUGCAGAAGAGCUUACUAGUAGUGGAUCCUUAUGCCAAAAUUUUACUUCACAAGUUAAGUACUUUUCCUGAAUCUAGAUUUGCCUAAUCUAGAGCAUUCACUUGUCCUAUACUAGCUUCAUUUUAGCAGCUUUAGUUUCACUUGUUAUCUACGAUGCAGGGCAGUGAUCCAGUCUUCAUAUCCGAGAAGUAACGGCGAUCCGAAUCGAUUAAUACUCAGCUGAGGAUCUCCAACCACACGACAUAUGUAGCACUUAACCCUUGCAUAUGUCAACUCGCCACCGGGUUUCUCAAGACCAGAACGGGUUCACGCGACCCGAGAGCACAGCACUCCACCGUCCAGCCAUGGGCCUGGUUGGUACACGUUACUUUCGCAUGGUGCCCGCCAUGUUUCCGAGAGUACAGCACCCCACCUUCCAGUCUCUUGCCACGGAGGGUACAAGCUACUCUCGCCAUCUCUCCACUCCCAGUGCGUGCGAGCUGUUCUGGUAUUGGUCCGACCGAGGCAAAGCUUACCCAUGAUGAGGCAUGUGGCCAGUUAAAGGGUCCUAGAUCAGCAAGCCUACUUUCGGUACGGUCCUUAGUCGACACAGACGGGCGACUUUUCCUGCUCAACGUCUGGUCUCAUCUUAUUAUUUAACACCCAAACCAUGUACCUGACAGAGGUACAAUACUCGAAUAAUGAAUUCAUCAUCGCGAGUGAUGCCUUCAUUAUUGCAAGUUCCUUUUUCAUAAAACCCAUAUCCAGUGUUGCACAACAUUCUUUUUAAAAGAACAACUUUUAGUUUUUCUAAGCAGGGCUAAGCCUCAUUAGUUCUCUUUAUAAAAUAGGAAUCAAGGAAGAUAAUCAAAUUCCAAGGAAUGGCAAUGCAUCAAUUGUUUCAUCACUCAACUCCUAUCACCUAAUGCAGCAUAUAAGUGAUAAAAGUUUUAAAACAACAAGGAGGUGGCAAAUGCACCGGGGCUUGCCUGGGAUAAACACUAUGUUAGUGUUGUUAAUUGACGACCACUUGGUGAGCAUCUUCCAUCCUGACACUUGGUUGAUUCAUCCAUUUUAGCUUCGUCCAUCAGCAUCACUUGGAGAUCAAUUCCACUCGUCUUCCAUAGCACGUGAUCAAUUAACGUACCUAAAUGAUAUGCAUAAUGCAUAUGAGAGAAUAAUCAUAAACAAUACAAGAUAAUAACACUAUGUCGAAGAGGGUAAUAUAUUGCUAGUAAGGCAUUAGAACUCCUAGGCAAACACUAGAUACCUUUGAAUUAACAACAAUCAUGAUCCUCGAGCUAGAGGGACCUAAUUCAAACAUUUGGAAAUCAUAACUAAACACAAGCCUUAAGCUAAAGCAUAACAUCGAUAGGUUAUUACCCUUAGACUUGUCACUUUUUAACACUCAAAACUUGGAAAAGGUGAUAGAACACAUGUAACUAACUUUCUAAUUCAAUAAGGUCUGGCACAAGCAUCAAGAAAGCAGUACAUCUCAAAGGAUUACUAGAACUUAGGUUCACUAGUGAUAGUCACCUCAGACUUAGAUUAAAGAUAUGAGUAGCUUAACUAGUUUCCUAAACUUCUUUCCCAAAUUAACUUAUUGUAACACACCAACUAAUAAAUCAUCACAUUUCUAUUCAAUCACACAAGUAGAACACUUAUCACACAACAUAAAGUUCCAUAGAAUUUACAUCCUCAACAAUUAAAGAUCUAAAGCAUACAAGAUGAAAUAUAAUAAGUGUUCCAUACUUUCCUUAGAUUACUGAGUAUAGCACCUUAAGCUUGGGACACUUGUUCACUUGAAUUUAGCAAGUACAAGACUUCAUCAAUCAAGAACUAACUAAAUUUACUUAGUCAAACAAUAAGAAGGAAAUGAAUUAAUCAAAUAUAACAAGGCAUUUCGAUAAACACUUCAUAUGCAACAAGUUGUCAUCAAUCAAGGGUAAAAAAAAUGACCUAGCCAAACAAGAGCAACUUCAAGAAAUCCACUUAAUGCUUGCUGAUUUUGGACAGCAAAACAGCAGCUAGUUGUUUUAUUCAUAACUUACACAAUAUUCAUCCAAAAAUAGUAAACUAAGACUUUUUGGAAAUCUUAUAAAGUCCUCUACAAUUUUGGUAUUAUCAUCACAAUGAGAUUCGACAUUUAAAAAUGUCAAACAGUACGAAAUGCAAUUUCUGUCCAGAUUUGGACAGAAUUCGACUGCUUACUUCAUUAAUUCAUAACCGGAGUUUCAGAAAUCCAAAUCAGGUGAUCCUAGACUUUUUAGAAAGAUAAUAGAAUUGUCUAUAAUUUAUUUUUAAACAUCUCCAGUUAAUUCAAUGCGUAGAAAGGUCAGUUAAUAUAAACAAACAUUGCUGUCCAGAUUUGGACAGAUUCAGACUCUAUAGUUUGAACAACUGUAACUUGGUCUCUAGACCACCAAAAAUGGUGCUCCAAAAUUUGUUGGAAAGCUUAAGCAAUGUACUACAAUUAUCCUAUAAUUAUUAAGAGCUUAUUCUCAGUUUAACUUGGGCAAACAAGGUCAUUUUCGAAAUCUGUACAGAAUCUGGACAGAUUCUGAAACUGGACUUGGAAAAUUCAUAACUCCUAAACUGCUAAGCCUAUGGUCAUGAAAUUUUUACACAAGCAAGAUAAAGCAAUUAUCUACAAGUUUUAUAUGUAACACUUCUACAGAAGACACGGUUUACUUCCCUAUACAAGCUACGCAACUAAAACUGGACACACAGUCCAAAGAGCAAACAUUUCAAUUUAGUUCAUAUUUGGCUUCUGCAAUUAUUAUGUUCUUGACACUUACUAAGAUAAGUCGUUAAUGUUACCAUACAUUAGGAUUUCAUCCAAUAAACACUAAUAACCCUUAUCGGCCAAGAGCUAUAAAUAACAAGCAUAUUCUUUUUCUAAACAUCACCACAGAACAACACAUCUCAAACAUCGAAUCUAUUAAAUCGUACUCGACAAUCACAUAAACCAAAUUGUAGCCUCCUUUCUAAACCAACCAGGUUUAGCCCAAGUAUCAAGAAAGCAAUGAACCAUACAUAUAAACAAAUGGACAUUCCAACGCACGUCUGUCUCGCAUACAAUUGCAUGAACGCAAAAGAGUAGAUAAUUCUAAUUCUAAGCCACAAGUACCAUGGCCGGUAUAUCUACCCUAUCUACUAAUAAAUCGAUGAGUAGUAGUAACAAAUCAGAGUACUAUUAUUAAUCCGCCGUGAAUUCCACAAAACAAAUACGACUCAGGCUCCGGCCUUCUACCAAACACUUUAUUUAAUCGAUCAUAACCAAAAUACGCAUGCUACAAACAAGAUGGUCAUCGUGACCAAUGCAUCCAUGCAAACCAACCAUUUAUCCGACUAACGAAAACAACAUAUCGACUUACCACGACUAAACUUGACGCGGUGUCCGCGAACAUGGCGAUAGUUUCGGUUCAGUCUUUCUAUUUGAUACCUAACAAGUGUCACGCGUCUUCGAAGGAGGACUGCAAGAAACGACAUCGAUUUAUAGGUUUGGCAUUACAUCAAACACAGGGCAUGCAGGGACAGCGAGAUCUCACCGGGGUUUAACGACACUGCAACCAGGCUGCCCAAAAAUCACGGAGUCGACGACGUGCUGUUCGACCACUACCGAGGCGUUGUUGCUGACUUCAAGUGAGGAGAGGGCGCGGCCAUGGGAGUAGGGCUGGCGUUGGGAGGUAGGAGACGGGUGGCCUGACGGCACCAUGGCUGGGGGCAGGGGCGACCAGCGUGCAGGAAACAGGUGCUGCGGCGGCCAUGGAAAGAAACUCGGCCAGGGGCUCAGCGGGAGCACCUGGGAAGGGGCCUGGACGAGCAGAAUCUUGGAGCUCGCGUCCAUGGCAGAGGAAGGGAAGGGGAGGAGACGCCAUGGCUACCUAGGCGUCGAGAGGAGCAGAGGCACCACGAGCUGGAAACGAGAGGGUACCGGAGGGAAAGCAGGAGGCCAGAUCCGACCGCGGCUAGGAGAGCACGCCGGCGAGGCUUGGUGGAGGUGAAACGGUGUUGAGGCCGAUCCCAGUGAGCGCUGACCACCAGCGAACAGAGGCCCGACGUCGAGAUUGGCCGGCACGAGCUGGGAGAGGGCGCCUGUGCCAGAACAGGAUGAGGACCAGAGGGCGCAUCCAUGCGAGCAGGAGGCUUGGUGGCUUGCAGUUGGAGGCGAUGGCGGAUGUGUGAUGAACGUUGAGCACGUGAGAGGCAGAGGUAAGCUACCGACGAUCGAAGCUGGGAGAUCAAGCACCUUCGUUGGCUUAAAAGUGAGCGACGACUGAGAAAAAAUGGCAGCUGGUCGUAAGGGAGAGGCCUGGUGUGGCUUCUAGAGGCCACAUAGCUGCAUGGGCUGAUGACGUGCAGUGAGGAGGAUUUUCUAGAAAUGAUCUAUAUUCUGGAUAAAAGGGAGAUGAAAAUGGUUGAUAAAUCAAAGAAGAAGCUAGUGCGUGGAGGGGAUAAAGCUUACGGUACAAAAUGCUUGAACGGCGGUGAGAUAGUAAAAGAGGAUUUUCCUUUAUUAUUAAAGAUAAAGAAACAUAUUUUUACACGUAUUUUGAUUUUAGGAUUGAGUUUGAGAGGUUUAAAUGGACCAAAUUAAAAUGCUACACGGGCUAAGAUACGAUUUUCCACAUCUAUGAAUAGAGAAGCAAUUAUUGGGGUUUGGUUCUGAGUACCCUGGUCUCGUUUAUUUUGUAUCAAAAACCUUAGUCAUCGAAUUCUAAUAAAUUUAUUUGGGACAAGAUCACAGUACUUAGUUGAUUUUUAAACAGGCACCAAACUCAAUAAUUUCCGAGACAACUAAACUCCAAACUUCAUGAAACAUUUUGGAUAGUUCUGAUAGACAGAGAUGAAUGCGAUAACGAAAUCAUGAUAAGCGAAAAUAAUCAGGACAUAGAUACUAUUAUUCUCAACGAUAUCCCUCGCUUAAGCCCAUACUCGCUGUCGAACGAGAAAUAAACACCUGGGGUGUUACAACCUUCCCCCCUUAAAAGAAUCUCGUCCCGAGAUUCAGAGCGAAAGACUUUUAAGAGUAUGGAAGCAUGUAACCCUGUCCAUAAUAGCGAUAGCAUAAGGCAGUUCCGAGUAGAGAUGAGUACUCCAAGAUGUUGGUUCCUCAAGUGGGUAUAGCAUGUAUCAUUUUAAGCUAAUUAGUGACGUCCAUCAAUAGAAACGACAUCUGCUAGAAGGACACAUAAGACUCCAUGUGUGCAGUUUGCUUUUUCUGAUAACAUGAGUCUGUUGAGAGAACAGUGGACAGGUGAAUAGCAAUUGUCUAGAUCGAAUAGGAUGCAACAUUUUUGGUAAGACACAAAGAAAGAGGUUCGUCGAUAAGUCGGCGUUGGAAUUCUAUGGCACAUGAGACAUAUGUGGAUGUCGAACAACCUCACGGUUGACUCGUGAUUAGGCCAAAGAAUCCAAGUCCAUGAAAGGUGAUAUAGAUUUGAGAAAAUCACCAGCAGAGGGAUCUAUAGAUGCUGACUUCGCAAUCAAUCCAUUUAUCAAGCACUAAUCAUGGCUUGACUUGAUCACACACGUUGGAAAACCAUACGUGAGGCGAUCGAGGCACGACUAGAGAUGUGGUUAGGCUGUUAACAGUUAGAUGAGGAUGGCAAAGUGCCUCGGCCAACAAGGUAAAGUUAAGAUACAUAUGCUCAUAAUAUAAUCCAAUAUGGCAUAAGAUCUGCGCAUAUGUUCAUAACCUUUACUUGAUCUUCACAAGAGUCUCUUCAAGAUAGGCUGAACUAAAGUGAGUUUAGACAACUCGAUAAAACGAUCUCUAAACCCAACCUUUGUUCAUUGGGCAGUUACAAGUUAGUAAAACCAACUUGUUGAACUACUUUUGACAUUGAGCAAGUCCUCUUAUUACCCAUCGACAAUUUAAUGGUCGAGAGUUCACGUUUGCUAGCAGGAGGCCAUGUAUUUAGAUAAAGAUCCAUUCAGUCAGGUUGUUCAUCCAUUUCUUCAUGCAAGAUGAAUUGAUUUGGUUCAAGAAUACAUGGAUUAAAUAAGAGAGCGAAAGAACAAACUCCUGCAAUCUCAACAGCAUGAAAAAUCAAUCUCCAUUUGAGAACUAAUUAGUUGUCUCUCAACAUUAAAAAGCUUCAAGGCUUCACCUUUACACAAAGGAUGUAAAAGGAACUUGUAUGAGUAGUCACUACCCAGAUCAAAAGAAAAGAGACCACACAUGAAAGUGGUAUAUCCGUUUGAUCCAAUAGAGAUGAUAGAUGUUGCUUGAUCACUUGACAAACAACAUAGAAAUUGUUUCAAGGGAGGAGUCCACGGAAGAUCACACAUCAGUGUAGUUCCACAAUGGAUCAUGACUAGAGACCUUGAUACCAGCAUCCGACGAGUAGCACAUCCCUGUGUGCGCAUUCACAGGAGGCUCUCAGUUUCGCUGCGGCACCAUAAGUCCUUAAUCGUGACACCACUACCGAACUGACACCAAUAACAAUCUCACGUAGCAAAAAUAGAUUGUGCCAAGAUAACGCAUUGACAUAGUCUCAUAAUGGAUUACAACUACUAACUGUGAUACCAGCGCGUGCCGAGUAGCACAACCAUGUGUGCGCACCCACAGAAGGCCCUCGGUUUCGUCACGGCACCACCAGUUUUAGUCAUAACACCAUUAUCAGACAUAACCAAUAAGAAAUCUUGCAUGGCACAGAUAGACUAAGCAAGGGUGACUAUAUACAAAAGAGACUCCCCUAGUCAAAAUGGCUACAAGUAGAGAGCCAAUAGAUCAUGGCCCGAUGAAGUGAGCAAGGCAUGGCCAUAACCUAAACUUGAUGAAAGGAGUAUAAUGGGAGACUGUUAAUUCAGCCCCGAGCAUAUUUCUAUGUCCAUCGCAGAGAUUAUCAAGUCAACGAUUAGUGUCUGAUUAGAUAGAGGGGAAAACGAUCAGAAGAUUAAAUUGGUAUGCCUUUAAGAGAUAUGAGGAAAUCAAAGGCAUUAAAUUCAAGAAAAUUUAUUGGGCAUUCCUUUCCUAGAUUAUAUUGAGAAAGCAACAAUGUAAUUCUCAUGGAGAGGCAAAGCAGAAUAGAAACAUCAGCUUGCACCAACCAAACAAGGGUAUGGUUUAGGAUGAAAAUAUGACCAUAAGAGAGCUACAAGUGAAUUGUCAAGAUCACAGACCCGAGAUCCUUAUCUUUAAGUUUGAGUGCAACUUAGGUCCAACAAGGGGAUUACCUAAACAUCUAUUUAUAUGACCUUGAUCACAAAGUAACGAUGGAAAAAGUCAGACUCGUCCACGUUUGGAAGCUGGGGAAAAAUUUCAGGGAAUUAACAUCGAUUUGGGUCAUGGCUCCUAGAUGAAGACAUGGCCAAAUUUUUAGUUUACACAAACAUACCACCAACAUUCUACCAGCACAAACACACCAGAACAAACACAAGUUGGACUAGCGGUCAAAUUAAGAAGAACCACAAACCACAUAAAGACAUGUCUAAAGGACAUAACAAACAAAACUAAAAAUUUCUUAUAGAACAGUAAUACUUCAUACAGUUUUCAAUUAUUUAUUAUCAGAAUAAAGAUGAGAAAAGCAUGUUCGUUCACAAUCACCAAUUAUUAGAAUAAAGGUGAGGAAAGCAUUUUUGUGCGCAAACAACAAACACAAUGCAAUAAUCAUGAUGCAUGCUCGUCCUAUUCGUCCUCACUGAAUUUGCCAACAUAAUGUGGCAAUAGCGUUCUAUACCGGUGACAUACCUACGUUCUCUCUCGAUAUAUUUCUAGUCGUCAGCUACACAUACGAGUUCGAAAUUAAUGUACCUGCAGAAAAUUCCAUCAUAGCCCAAUUCCCAAUGAUGCAAUUCACACAUGACAGUUUAUCACAGUUUAUACUCCAUAUAUUGCUAUAUGGAGGCCAGCUCCUCAUUAAGCGCCGAGCCACGCAUAGGCGCCACUGCCACACUUUAACCAUAGGGCAGCUCAUUAUGGUAACUCACCUUCUUACCAGAGCGUAGGUGCGUCGUUGCAAAUACAUUACACUUCUCGGUAUUCCCAUGUCUGCAUACCCAUACACAUCCAUGGGGUACUGAAUCCCAGAAAAUUAAAUACUCCACAUCGCAGCCUUCAUAUAUACAUAUGUAAAACAUGUAUAUAAUCAAGCGAUGUUUAUGCUCUCCCCUAGACCGACGUUUAUUCGGUCAUGCUCUCACAUCUCACGUUACCUUGGACGUCGAUCCAUUCAAGACUGAAUGGCCUCAAAAAUAAUAAUACACAUGUAUGCAUUACCCUUCCCAGGUUGUGGGUUAGUAUUCUGAACUAAGCCACCUAGUAGUCCUUAAUUUAGGGCUUAACAGAGGAUGUCGCUAGCAUUAUAGUUUUUCAAAUCUGUUUUUCAAAACCAAACAAUGUGUUUAGUUGAAAAUAGGUUUUCGAAACCAAAACUUUGUUUUGUAAAUACGUAUGUGACCGUAUUAUACUUAAUCAUGCUCCGAUACCAGCUGUCGCAGAACCUCCCAAGUUAUUGGGCCCACAUGCACCUGUCCUUGUCUCAAAGACCUCAGACAGCUAUGCAUGUGCACCAAACAACUUAACAGGAUCUGUCCGAGUGCCCCGAGGACCCCGGAUAAACGACUUACCGCCAAGAUCGCAAGAUUAAGUAAACACAAAUCACACACCAAACAUUUGCAGCGGAAAUAAAUUCUUUAUUGCAAAAUGAUUACAUGUUACAAUAAGUUUACAUUAGACAGUUAUCGAAGUGAUUACAAAAGAAAGUGAUUCAAAAGAAUUACAAUUUAAAAUGUAUAAAAUAUUUAUAGGUUUUAAAAUACAUGCUAGCUUAAGUGACAAUCCUCAAUAAAGAAGCUAAAGAUGGGAUAUACUUAUAUAAGAAGGCCGAGCCCACCGGCACUUAGCACCAUCCACAACAGAACAAAAUUAUAACCUGAAAAACAACAGGGAAUAAAACCCUGAGUACACAAUUACUCAGCAAGACUUACCCAACUAAAGAAAAGACUCUCAAGGGUAUGCUGGUUUAUUGGGAAUCAAGGUAAAGCUUAUCAAAUUUCAAAGACUCAUUUUGCAGAAGAGCUUACUAGUAGUGGAUCCUUAUGCCAAAAUUUUACUUCACAAGUUAAGUACUUUUCCUGAAUCUAGAUUUGCCUAAUCUAGAGCAUUCACUUGUCCUAUACUAGCUUCAUUUUAGCAGCUUUAGUUUCACUUGUUAUCUACGAUGCAGGGCAGUGAUCCAGUCUUCAUAUCCGAGAAGUAACGGCGAUCUGAAUCGAUUAAUACUCAGCUGAGGAUCUCCAACCACACGACAUAUGUAGCACUUAACCCUUGCAUAUGUCAACUCGCCACCGGGUUUCUCAAGACCAGAACGGGUUCACGCGACCCGAGAGCACAGCACUCCACCGUCCAGCCAUGGGCCUGGUUGGUACACGUUACUUUCGCAUGGUGCCCGCCAUGUUUCCGAGAGUACAGCACCCCACCUUCCAGUCUCUUGCCACGGAGGGUACAAGCUACUCUCGCCAUCUCUCCACUCCCAGUGCGUGCGAGCUGUUCUGGUAUUGGUCCGACCGAGGCAAAGCUUACCCAUGAUGAGGCAUGUGGCCAGUUAAAGGGUCCUAGAUCAGCAAGCCUACUUUCGGUACGGUCCUUAGUCGACACAGACGGGCGACUUUUCCUGCUCAACGUCUGGUCUCAUCUUAUUAUUUAACACCCAAACCAUGUACCUGACAGAGGUACAAUACUCGAAUAAUGAAUUCAUCAUCGCGAGUGAUGCCUUCAUUAUUGCAAGUUCCUUUUUCAUAAAACCCAUAUCCAGUGUUGCACAACAUUCUUUUUAAAAGAACAACUUUUAGUUUUUCUAAGCAGGGCUAAGCCUCAUUAGUUCUCUUUAUAAAAUAGGAAUCAAGGAAGAUAAUCAAAUUCCAAGGAAUGGCAAUGCAUCAAUUGUUUCAUCACUCAACUCCUAUCACCUAAUGCAGCAUAUAAGUGAUAAAAGUUUUAAAACAACAAGGAGGUGGCAAAUGCACCGGGGCUUGCCUGGGAUAAACACUAUGUUAGUGUUAUUAAUUGACGACCACUUGGUGAGCAUCUUCCAUCCUGACACUUGGUUGAUUCAUCCAUUUUAGCUUCGUCCAUCAGCAUCACUUGGAGAUCAAUUCCACUCGUCUUCCAUAGCACGUGAUCAAUUAACGUACCUAAAUGAUAUGCAUAAUGCAUAUGAGAGAAUAAUCAUAAACAAUACAAGAUAAUAACACUAUGUUGAAGAGGGUAAUAUAUUGCUAGUAAGGCAUUAGAACUCCUAGGCAAACACUAGAUACCUUUGAAUUAACAACAAUCAUGAUCCUCGAGCUAGAGGGACCUAAUUCAAACAUUUGGAAAUCAUAACUAAACACAAGCCUUAAGCUAAAGCAUAACAUCGAUAGGUUAUUACCCUUAGACUUGUCACUUUUUAACACUCAAAACUUGGAAAAGGUGAUAGAACACAUGUAACUAACUUUCUAAUUCAAUAAGGUCUGGCACAAGCAUCAAGAAAGCAGUACAUCUCAAAGGAUUACUAGAACUUAGGUUCACUAGUGAUAGUCACCUCAGACUUAGAUUAAAGAUAUGAGUAGCUUAACUAGUUUCCUAAACUUCUUUCCCAAAUUAACUUAUUGUAACACACCAACUAAUAAAUCAUCACAUUUCUAUUCAAUCACACAAGUAGAACACUUAUCACACAACAUAAAGUUCCAUAGAAUUUACAUCCUCAACAAUUAAAGAUCUAAAGCAUACAAGAUGAAAUAUAAUAAGUGUUCCAUACUUUCCUUAGAUUACUGAGUAUAGCACCUUAAGCUUGGGACACUUGUUCACUUGAAUUUAGCAAGUACAAGACUUCAUCAAUCAAGAACUAACUAAAUUUACUUAGUCAAACAAUAAGAAGGAAAUGAAUUAAUCAAAUAUAACAAGGCAUUUCGAUAAACACUUCAUAUGCAACAAGUUGUCAUCAAUCAAGGGUAAAAAAAAUGACCUAGCCAAACAAGAGCAACUUCAAGAAAUCCACUUAAUGCUUGCUGAUUUUGGACAGCAAAACAGCAGCUAGUUGUUUUAUUCAUAACUUACACAAUAUUCAUCCAAAAAUAGUAAACUAAGACUUUUUGGAAAGCUUAUAAAGUCCUCUACAAUUUUGGUAUUAUCAUCACAAUGAGAUUCGACAUUUAAAAAUGUCAAACAGUACGAAAUGCAAUUUCUGUCCAGAUUUGGACAGAAUUCGACUGCUUACUUCAUUAAUUCAUAACCGGAGUUUCAGAAAUCCAAAUCAGGUGAUCCUAGACUUUUUAGAAAGAUAAUAGAAUUGUCUAUAAUUUAUUUUUAAACAUCUCCAGUUAAUUCAAUGCGUAGAAAGGUCAGUUAAUAUAAACAAACAUUGCUGUCCAGAUUUGGACAGAUUCAGACUCUAUAGUUUGAACAACUGUAACUUGGUCUCUAGACCACCAAAAAUGGUGCUCCAAAAUUUGUUGGAAAGCUUAAGCAAUGUACUACAAUUAUCCUAUAAUUAUUAAGAGCUUAUUCUCAGUUUAACUUGGGCAAACAAGGUCAUUUUCGAAAUCUGUACAGAAUCUGGACAGAUUCUGAAACUGGACUUGGAAAAUUCAUAACUCCUAAACUGCUAAGCCUAUGGUCAUGAAAUUUUUACACAAGCAAGAUAAAGCAAUUAUCUACAAGUUUUAUAUGUAACACUUCUACAGAAGACACGGUUUACUUCCCUAUACAAGCUACGCAACUAAAACUGGACACACAGUCCAAAGAGCAAACAUUUCAAUUUAGUUCAUAUUUGGCUUCUGCAAUUAUUAUGUUCUUGACACUUACUAAGAUAAGUCGUUAAUGUUACCAUACAUUAGGAUUUCAUCCAAUAAACACUAAUAACCCUUAUCGGCCAAGAGCUAUAAAUAACAAGCAUAUUCUUUUUCUAAACAUCACCACAGAACAACACAUCUCAAACAUCGAAUCUAUUAAAUCGUACUCGACAAUCACAUAAACCAAAUUGUAGCCUCCUUUCUAAACCAACCAGGUUUAGCCCAAGUAUCAAGAAAGCAAUGAACCAUACAUAUAAACAAAUGGACAUUCCAACGCACGUCUGUCUCGCAUACAAUUGCAUGAACGCAAAAGAGUAGAUAAUUCUAAUUCUAAGCCACAAGUACCAUGGCCGGUAUAUCUACCCUAUCUACUAAUAAAUCGAUGAGUAGUAGUAACAAAUCAGAGUACUAUUAUUAAUCCGCCGUGAAUUCCACAAAACAAAUACGACUCAGGCUUCGGCCUUCUACCAAACACUUUAUUUAAUCGAUCAUAACCAAAAUACGCAUGCUACAAACAAGAUGGUCAUCGUGACCAAUGCAUCCAUGCAAACCAACCAUUUAUCCGACUAACGAAAACAACAUAUCGACUUACCACGACUAAACUUGACGCGGUGUCCGCGAACAUGGCGAUAGUUUCGGUUCAGUCUUUCUAUUUGAUACCUAACAAGUGUCACGCGUCUUCGAAGGAGGACUGCAAGAAACGACAUCGAUUUAUAGGUUUGGCAUUACAUCAAACACAGGGCAUGCAGGGACAGCGAGAUCUCACCGGGGUUUAACGACACUGCAACCAGGCUGCCCAAAAAUCACGGAGUCGACGACGUGCUGUUCGACCACUACCGAGGCGUUGUUGCUGACUUCAAGUGAGGAGAGGGCGCGGCCAUGGGAGUAGGGCUGGCGUUGGGAGGUAGGAGACGGGUGGCCUGACGGCACCAUGGCUGGGGGCAGGGGCGACCAGCGUGCAGGAAACAGGUGCUGCGGCGGCCAUGGAAAGAAACUCGGCCAGGGGCUCAGCGGGAGCACCUGGGAAGGGGCCUGGACGAGCAGAAUCUUGGAGCUCGCGUCCAUGGCAGAGGAAGGGAAGGGGAGGAGACGCCAUGGCUACCUAGGCGUCGAGAGGAGCAGAGGCACCACGAGCUGGAAACGAGAGGGUACCGGAGGGAAAGCAGGAGGCCAGAUCCGACCGCGGCUAGGAGAGCACGCCGGCGAGGCUUGGUGGAGGUGAAACGGUGUUGAGGCCGAUCCCAGUGAGCGCUGACCACCAGCGAACAGAGGCCCGACGUCGAGAUUGGCCGGCACGAGCUGGGAGAGGGCGCCUGUGCCAGAACAGGAUGAGGACCAGAGGGCGCAUCCAUGCGAGCAGGAGGCUUGGUGGCUUGCAGUUGGAGGCGAUGGCGGAUGUGUGAUGAACGUUGAGCACGUGAGAGGCAGAGGUAAGCUACCGACGAUCGAAGCUGGGAGAUCAAGCACCUUCGUUGGCUUAAAAGUGAGCGACGACUGAGAAAAAAUGGCAGCUGGUCGUAAGGGAGAGGCCUGGUGUGGCUUCUAGAGGCCACAUAGCUGCAUGGGCUGAUGACGUGCAGUGAGGAGGAUUUUCUAGAAAUGAUCUGUAUUCUGGAUAAAAGGGAGAUGAAAAUGGUUGAUAAAUCAAAGAAGAAGCUAGUGCGUGGAGGGGAUAAAGCUUACGGUACAAAAUGCUUGAACGGCGGUGAGAUAGUAAAAGAGGAUUUUCCUUUAUUAUUAAAGAUAAAGAAACACAUUUUUACACGUAUUUUGAUUUUAGGAUUGAGUUUGAGAGGUUUAAAUGGACCAAAUUAAAAUGCUACACGGGCUAAGAUACGAUUUUCCACAUCUAUGAAUAGAGAAGCAAUUAUUGGGGUUUGGUUCUGAGUACCCUGGUCUCGUUUAUUUUGUAUCAAAAACCUUAGUCAUUGAAUUCUAAUAAAUUUAUUUGGGACAAGAUCACAGUACUUAGUUGAUUUUUAAACAGGCACCAAACUCAAUAAUUUCCGAGACAACUAAACUCCAAACUUCAUGAAACAUUUUGGAUAGUUCUGAUAGACAGAGAUGAAUGCGAUAACGAAAUCAUGAUAAGCGAAAAUAAUCAGGACAUAGAUACUAUUAUUCUCAACGAUAUCCCUCGCUUAAGCCCAUACUCGCUGUCGAACGAGAAAUAAACAGCUGGGGUGUUACACGAAACUCCAAUGACCCUUAGUUCCGGUGAGACUUAGCGUUUUGGUAUACUUGCUUUGUCAUUGUAUUUAUGGAUAUAAGACUUGGUCAUUUAAUAUACUGGAUGGAUGAUAUGUGAUGAAUAUUAAAGGGUAUUAAAUGUGAUGUUGAAUGAAUGAUAUGUGAUAGACUUGGUUAUUUGAAUGUGAUGGGUGAAUGAUAUAUGGUGAAUAUUUUAAUGAGAUGAAUAUGUGUGUGUGAUGUUGAAUUGUGAAUAAAUGAUAUGUGAAUUUUAUAUGGAUAUGCAGGUGAAUUAUGGACCCUACAAAUGACUUAUUUUCAACGGCUUAAUGGGGGCCACAAAAUAUGAACUCAACUUAUUUUUGCAGACACAACUAUCCACCAAAAAUAUAUAGCUGGUCUUAUUUUCGGCGGCUAGCUACGGCCGCCGAAACUAGGCACUUCAGGUUUUAUUUUUAGUGGCAACCUUCCGGACGCUGAAAACAACUUAUUUUUGGUGUCCACCACCGAAAAUAAAUGUUCUUUUCAGCGAUGAACUUCCAAUAAAGGCAUACCGCCAAAAAUAAAUUGGUAGCCACAAAAAAUAAGUUAUUUUCGGUGGGAGACACUAAUUCUUCAUCGGUUUUGAGCCGUUGAAAGUUUAUGAAAUUCAAAUUCUUAUAUAGUGCAAGUGAUAAAAAUUAUCAUAUUCUUGACAUGAAGAUCAUGUGGAAACAAAUGCUUUGAGUUGAUCACAAUAUGGCUGACAGUUGUAUGGUGGAAUGGUAUAGAUAGAAAUUUGAGAUUAGCAGUUGUUCACUAGCAUCAGGUGUAGUUCAACAAGUUUGGGAAUGCUUUUGUUGUUGAUGGAUGUUGGCAUGAUGUUAGGAUCAUCUAGCAGCUGCUGGAGAUAGCAACGGCUCCAAUAGAUAUUAUAAACAAACUUGUAGUUCAACAAGUUUGUGAUGUGAUUUUUAUCAAAUAACAUUGCGCACCAAGAGGAAACCGAAGCCACAUUAUUUGGCCGUGACACAAAUUGUGUAGCCAUGCGACAAGAAUAGGAAAGAAAAUAAUAUAACAAGGUGUGACUGUGUUUGUUUAAGAUUAUAAUCUGUCCAGAUUAUAUAAUGAGUAUUAGUUUAACUUUUGGAUUAUAUAAUCUGGGUAUAUUAUAAUUCCAAACAAACACCAUCUAUAGCUUUAAGCCAAGAAAUUGAUUGAUGGCAGAUGUAUGGAGUCCGUGUCGGUGGAUGUAGUGGAGGCCCACAAAAAGACAAAAAAAAUACACCCAAACAAUUAGGGCUUAUUCGUUUCACCGUUAAUCCAUAUGGAUUGGGUGGCACUGAGUCUGUUUAAAUCCAUAACAAGUCAAAAUUCAUCCAAAUCCAUUCCAAUACACUUCAAUCCACAUUGAACUGGAAUAACCGAACAAGCCCUUAAGUGAGUGUUUGGUUUCUAAAGACUAAUUUUUAGUUCCUCAAUUUUAUUCUAUUUUUGUCCCUAAAAUAAUAAAUACGGAAACUAAAACAUUCAUAUUUAGUAAUUUAGUGACUAAAAUAAAAUAAAACGAAGGAACUAAAAAUUAGUCCCUAAAAACUCCUAAAAACAUAUUUGUGGAGUUGGUGCCACAAAGAGAAGGCAAAAAAAUUUUUCAAGUAAAAAUGUAAAUGAAGAAAAAGCUAGCUACCCGCGCUCGAUCCAUCAUAAAAAGGAUUGAAGCAGUGCGAUAAUGUGUCACUUAGCAAGUUGAACGUACGUAAAGCAAACGCAAGAGGGGCAAGGAGACGGCAGUGGUAGUUAAUAUAUAUAUAUAUAUAUAUAUAUAUAUAUAUAUAUAUAUAUAUAUAUAUAUAUAUAUAUAUAUAUAUAUAUAUAUAUAUAUAUAUAUAUAUACUGCCACGAAUAAAUUAGGUUUUGAAUACGGUUUUGUUUGGAAGCAAUACAGUUUUUAAGAAACCAGUUUCUAUUUUUUAGCUAGGAGAGAUCAGCUUCUUGGUUUUAAGAAACUGAGAAUCUAAUUUAUAUAAACUGAGUCAUAAACCAGCAUGUUUGGACCACCUCAAUUUCUAUAUUGUCACAAAUAAAUUAGGUUUUGAGUAAGUUAGAGAUGGAUGCGUGUUAUAUAUAUAUAUAUAUAUAUAUAUAUAUAUAUAUAUAUAUAUAUAUAUAUAUAUAUAUAUAUAUAUAUAUAUAUAUAUAUAUAUAUAUAUAUAUAUGUUUAAGGGCGCAAGCACAAUACUGCACUCUCCCUGCUUGCUCGCCCGAUCCGUCGAUCUUCUCGAGAGGAGCAGUUCAAAUCACCCUGUACGGAUCCAUUGGGAUCACCUAGAGCCGCGAGUCCAGUUGAGUGAAUCCUUUCAGGCUGGAUGGAUGCGGUGGGCUAGCUCUGCUCUCUUCUCGAAAUUGCAUAUUGCAUAGAGUAGUAUUGUACGAAACGAUAUCUCGUAACGGAAGGAUGGGAACCAAGAGAAAGAAGACAGCUCUAUCUCAGAAGUGAGCUCCGUCUCACAAGUUAGCUCAGCUCCGUCGACACCUCGAGCUAUUCAAACGAGUGUUCAGUCAUCAGAUCUCAAUAUCGGGUUGGGAAUCUUUCUAGACUAAAAAGUUUCGUUUUCGUGGGUCGGUGUCAAGUCUAUCUCUCAUGUUGCUCCUUAGAAAACGCGUAGAAUAGUAAUGUCAUUGGUCCACUAGAUAAGGAUGGGACAAACGCUCUAGUCUAUGCGUUAGAAGGCAACUAGUAUUUUUGGUUAUUUUGGGAGGGAGUCUUAUAUAUAUAUAUAUAUAUAUAUAUAUAUAUAUAUAUAUACUGCAUUGGAGCAAAAGGUUAGUAGUAAUAGAUUGGGGCAUGCACGUACGUGCAUAUAUAAGAAGAAUUAUUGCGAAAAAGCAAGCGAAGAGGCAGAGCUACACUAUAGACCGAAAGGCACAGCAAGCAGCAGCUUCUGCCACUGAUGUUUUAUUUCUCUCGACGCAUGGACGAAGCGGCCGAUCGAUCGGAGCCAGCAGUCUCUGCUUCUGCUUGAUUUGAAUGGUUGUGUACGUACCACAGCAGUCAGCAGCAGCUCCACUCUGGGUAUAGCCAUGCGUCAUCUGGCCAGUCUCGUCUCGGUAUCCUUGCUAGGUAGCUGGUAGCGAUUCUUCUGCUUCUUUAUUUGAUGCAUGCAGCAGCAGCAACAGCAGCAGAUGCAUUGAUAGAGAGAAAGAUCGAGAGGUCAGAUGCCGAGCAGAGGAAUGGAGAGGACAGGUCGCACACCACCACCACCACCACCAGCAGCAGCUGCUACAGACAUGAAGGCUCGCCACCAGUACUGCCACCUAGCUAGCCCUAGCAGUAGGCCGGCCAAGGAUCCAACUUCCAUGCAGGCGUGCAUCGAUCGUGCGUGAAUGCAUGACGGGUCACUAGCUAGCUUGCAUGCUCACGUACUUGUACAUGCAUGGCCUGCCCUGGCACUGGAUGUCUGGAUGUCGUCGGACGACGACACAGUAGUAUUCUGCAGGAGCAUUCCAUCCACUCCAGUAUUCUCACCCCUUGGAUCGAGAUACCUGCGGCGGCCAUGCAUGGGAGAAUGUGUAGUUGCAUGCUCUCUCUACUACUGCUCUACGCAAGAAGGAGUAACUUGCAUGCCGCCAAAUGAUCGACAAGUGUGAAGAGAGCUAGCCUGCAGCAUAUCAUCAAUAUCAUUUGACCCAUAAUAUAAUGGGGGGUUUUUAUGGUGGUGCCCUCGGUUUUGCUGGUGUGCUCAUUUUUACGCUUAGUUGCGUUUUUUUGCUCAGUUUUGCCCUUCCAGUGCUAUAGAACAGAAGGGUAAAACUGAGCAAAAAACACAACUAAGGGUAAAAAUGAGGACACCAGCAAAACCGAGGGCACCACCAUAAAAACACCUACUGGUCAUAUAUAUACAGGUUCAGAUAAAUUAAACCAAGACUUAAUUCUCUCUCUCUCUCCAUCGAUCUAUCUCAUGCCUAGCCUCCAAGUAUAUAUAUACGACUAUACGUGGGAAAAACAAAAAAUAAAAAACAAAAGAGAAAGAAGAGAACAUAACGAAGAUACUACCUCCAUUCUCAAAUACUUGACGCCAGCUAGUUCAUUUUUGAACUAAAAAACUUUAAAUAAAAAAGAAGAGAGUAUAUAUAUAUAUAGGGAAGAGGUAAUGGAAGCCCUGGGCUUCCGUUAGUGGGGGAAGCCCCAGCCAGGACGCCAAACCAGAUCGCGGUCGGCCCACUGUACGCAAGCAUGCGUCAGCCAUGCAUAUGAUAGCCACGAUUCCCGGAUGAGACGUGACAGGUGAUAUACGCACGCAUAAAUAUAUGUAGAAAUGUGCAUAAAUCAUGUAUAGAAGAAAUCUUUUGGACCACGAAUCACGAGAACGAAUAUUACCAUGUGUACACCGUUUACGACUGCAUAACGCUGUGUAACAUAAUAGCGUAAACCAUGCAACAUUUAAAUAUCCACCGGUUUGAGAUAAGGAAAGACGUGCUCCACAUUCGCGUAAAUAAAGGCACAGUUACGGGAGGAAACAAAUUCUCAUUUACAGCCGCUCGGCCAUGUUCGUAUCUGUGAUAUUGGCGGCGGUUAACGACUGUAUAACGAUGCGUAAAUAAACCGUUUACGACUGCAUAACGAUGUGUAACAUGAUAGCAUAAACCAUGCAUUAUAUAAAUCUUGACCGGUUUGAUAUAAGAAAAGACGUGCUGCAUAAUCGCGUAAAUAAAGGGACAGUUACGGUUUGAGGAGCAUUAGUAGAAGGAAAUAAAUUUUAAUUUAUAGCCGCAGUUCGCGGGUUCUGCUCGGGCGGAUUCCAGCGUGAAACGUGAGCUAAAACAACGUAAAUGAGUACGAAUUUUAGCGUAAAUCAUACAACAUUUAAAUAAUGCUCUCCUGAUGAUUACAAUAGUACAAUUUUAAUAAUUUACCCUGGGGCUAUACAUGCUGACUGAAUUUCUGUGUUAUUUCCAACUGCACAUAUAUAUUUUUAUUCUCUAUUGUUUCAACGUGUAUUUACACUGUAUAUAUACGUAUGUAGCAUAGUAUACAACAGUCGUUAACUAAAUUGUGAUGGUGACUGAUAUGAGAGAUCGAUUCUCUAGAUCGCCGGACUAUGGAUGUUGAGCAACGAAACCCUAUUCCGAAUAAUGCUCCUGAACACCACCUCGCUGCCGCUCUCGCACUCAUCGAUGCAUCGCUCAAGCUCCUCGUGCUUCUCCUGCGCGACAUCGGCCGUCGUCGGCGUCUCCGACUUCUUGGCGAAGGCAGCAGCCACGAAGGUCGUCGGGGCCUUCUUGUUCGAGCACGAUGACGCGGCGGCAGACACGGACGCGACGGCCGAGAACACGGCGGCGGAGGCGGCGGCGCUGGCGGCCGCGACGUCCAUGAGCGCGGCGGCCAUCUCGGCCUCCUCGGCGGUUCCGCUCCCGCCGAGCCCAGCCCCAGCAGGCAGGCGCGCGACGGACCUGGCGGCGAGGCGGGCGAGCUCCCUGUGGAGCGCCACCGUCGCUCGUUCCUGGUGGAGCGCCACCGUCGGUCGCCUGCCUCGAGGCGACACCGCUGCUGGCCCCCAGGAUCACCGCCACUCGCACGCCCGAGGAAACCGCCGCCGCCGCUAAAACCUAAUCCCUAGCGGCGUGGGGGUGUUUUUAUAGUGUCGGCGUGGGACUGAAUAAUUGUGAACGCGUGGGCCGGAUCGUGGGCCUGAUGCACGUAAUAUGCGCAGACUAUAUUUGCAUAAACUGAUACACACAUCAGCAUAACUCGUAUUAUAAUUUAGCGUAAGCACAGUUAGGUACAAUAAACCAAAAAGGGUCCGGUGCGGUCUGCGCACCUGGUCAGGGCUUCCUGUAGUUAAAUAGAGCCCAGAGCUCUAAAUACUAUAUAUAUAUAUAUAUAUAUAUAUAUAUAUAUAUAUAUAUAUAUAUAUAUAUAUAUAUAGUUAGUCCCUGCUCCAUCCCUCUCAUCAUAACCUUAUGAUGUGGUGCCCAAUCAGCAGUCUACAAAGGCACAACACGGGUUGUGUUACAUGGCAUACUCUCCACAGUUGCCGUACUAGCUAGAGGCAGACAAACAUUGAAACGGUUCUGUCCAUAGUAAAAAAAAAAGAAAGAGGUUUCGAUAGGAAAGAAUUCAAGAGAAUGAAUGCAUUCAAGUUUUCCAUGAAUGCAAUGCCAGUAGGUAGGGACAGCAUGCAGUGCGCAGUAACGUGUCUCCCCAUCUUGUCCCUCACUCUUCUAUUCGCUUCCAUGCAUCCAAGUAGUAGUAUCUAUAUAUCUUGCCCGCUCUUCCAUUUAUUCCCUCUCUCUUCAAAAUAACAAAUCUAAUUUACAUGCAAUAGUUUCCAAAUCCCCACUAAGUCUAUCUCCAACAGCUUAUCCAUACUCAAUCUACAUUGUACCAAACAAUGUUUUUGGAUAAACUUUAGAUAAACCGCUGCAAACAGCGUAUCCAACUCCCACACUCGCAUUUUAUUAGUAUAAUCUCAAACAUGUAAGUCUUAUGCAUUACUUCCUUAGCGCCAGUUUAGCUUGUUCACUGUCUAAUCAAGCUAACAUUAUUUUACAUAUGACUUCUAUUUGUUUCAGGCAAAAUUUUCACUUAGCAAAUCACAUUUCCAUAUAUAGGCCUAUCUGCACCAAAAUUCUUUUCAAAUUUCCACAGAUUUAUUCGUCGUAUUUUAUUAGUAGUAUUGUAUCACAAAUGCAAGUUGUAUGCAUUUUCAGAUUCCAUUGGUACCAUUUUAGCUUAUUGAAUGUUUGACGUUGCUACCGUUAUAACCUCCACGCCAUAUAUGGUUUUGAUAGUAGUGAGAUGUGUAGAAACCUAGGAGAACUACAUUGAAACUCUAUGAUUUCAUGUGUAGUUCUCCUAGGUUUCUACAAAUAGUGUCCCACAACUUUCUCCAAACAUUCUAAAAUUUUUAUCGCAGCCUGUACAUAUGAUAUCAUGACACGUGGACAAGUUUCAGGAUUUUUUGACUUUGUUUGUGUUUUAUACAAUUUUUAAACAUGUGUAUGGCAAGUUCACGGCCAUGUUUAGUGAGCAUGUUGCUCGAAGUUUCCGGUCCGCUCCUGAAAUCGGUCGUAACUAAUGCUAAGUAACAUGAAUAUUAUUUUUGCAUGCACGGUUUUCCAAGUUUCGAGUGACCUACAGUUCAAAUCUAAAUUUUCCGAAGAAAUUCAAAUAAACGAACUAAAUCUACUAACGAUUGAAAACUCUGUUAAAAUUGUCCACAAAUGAUACAUGUAGGUCUACAUAGUGUAGAAACAUACCACAAAAAUUUCGAGAGACAAAAUAAAAAAAAUAAAAAUAUACUUUGCCGAGUGUCCAGGAAUGACACUCGGCAAAGUAUGCUUUGCCGAGUGCCUACUAUGUGGCACUCGGUAGAGAAUCUCUUUGCCGAGAGCCAACGGAUGACACUCGGCAAAGACUAACGGCCGUCAGCUUUGGGACGGCCGCUGACGGCCGUUUGCCAAGAGCCCACUUU
rnacentral:lncRNA from 1 species